rnacentral:lncRNA from 1 species
UUUUCACAAAGCACCUACGAGCACGUGCUAGAGCUGGCUCUUUACGAAGAGCCCGCUUCCCUUCUCACUCCUAUUCUCUCUCAUCCAACUCAGCAAAAAUACAGUAUUUUAAUCCUUACAGCCUGCUGACUGUACCUUAUUGUACUUGCUCUAAAGUUGUACUCCCUCCGUUCCAAAAUAUAAGACCUUUUAGAGAUUUAUUAGAAGACUACAUACGAAGCAAAAUGAGUGAAUCUAUACUCUAAAAUAUGUCUAUGUACAUCCGUAUGUAGUUCAUAGUGCAAUCUUUAAAAUGUCUUAUAUUUAGGAACGGAGGGAGUAUUAAGUUUGAGGCGGUUAUAUUGAGACGGAGAGAGUACUAGAUAUACGUAAUCUGAAAUAGUGGAGUACCAAAAUUAUAGGCCUCUAUGAUUAGGAGGAUUUUCAUAAAACAUUUGGAAAGUUGUGAUACUUGAGAAUUUUUCCUUUAUCGCUUAUCUGAUUCGUAGAUUGACUCCUAUAGGAUUUUCUCCUAUGGAUUCCCUUUGACUGCACAUUUCAUGAAAAAAAACAUUAGUUUGCCAUGAUAAUUUUUCACCAGGAUGCACAAAAAAUGAACUAGUUCUGAAAGGUUUAUUGGCUUCAUUUGGAUUUACUUAGAAUCAGCUCAUAUUAGCAAUAAUUAAAGAUGGCCGAACGAUGGCGCCGUCUCCCUCCCGACCCGGGGCCGCAUGCAGCCCCUCUCCCUCUGCCCCCCUCCUCCUGUCGGUGCCCUCGGAUCUGGUCCGGGUGGUGUUGGCGGUGGCGGGAUCUCCAUUACCUGUGCGCGGACGUCCUUCCCGAGGCAGGGGAUCGACGGUGGUGCGGCUCGGCCUGCUGUGGUCCGACGACCUAGAGGUGGUGGCCGGCAGCCGACGUGGUGGUGGCGCUGCUCCUUGGCGGCGGGGUGGCCUAGCGGCACGGGGUGGCCGGCUGCACGACCCCGGGCCAGAUCAGGGCCCAUAAGGCCUCAUCUAGGUCCUAGGGGACUGGCUCUGGCAUGGACUUGCUGCCUCCUGUACAGGGAUGAGGAGGGGCGGGUUGAAAGGGGGGCCGCGAUGCCGACGGUGUGCUUUCUGCAGCGCGAUGGCAGGAGCUUUAUGGGUAUUUGUGGGGCCAUGAGCCUGGUUUGCUCCUGCCGAUGUGUCCGGUCGGUUACUGUCGUUGACGAUGGAAGUCGGACCCUCCCGCAGGCCGCCGGUGUUGCUUCCCCUAGUCCCGACUCUUCUUCUUCGAUGUGCAGGCCUCACUUCUCGGUGUCCUGGUGAGACAGUGUGGGUCGCUUCAAGAUUGUGCUUGCGCAGGGCGGUGGGUGGUAUGGUGGAGUCCUCCGGAACGCCCGUGGUGAUGCGUGGGGAUCGGGACGUACAAAUCCUUGUCGGCCUGUUCGACACCGACACGGUGACGCCUGAGGGUGUCGACGGACCUUCCUGGAGGGUGUCGGGUGCUACCCUUUCUUUGUCCUCGUUGUGUAUCGGGGGAAACCCUUGGCAGCAGCGCAGUCAUCGUCGUGUCCCUUCUUGGAGGUGUUGAUUGGUAUCGGCGCUUCGAAGGCUAGGAUCUUGGUGGAAGAUCUUCGAUGGGCGCAACGAUCGCGGGGCCUCUUCAUUUUUGUCGAUCCAUCAUUGUUGGCAUCUAUUCCUUUUGCAUUUUCUUUUUCCCUUCCUUUUGGACGUGAUUGUGAUGUCUCCGUCCCAGCACUUAUUGAUGGAUAUAUCGGGCAUUUGCUAUAUUAAUAUAGCGAGGCGAACGCGUGCUUCGAAGAAAGAUGGACGAACUUACCAACCAUAUUACUUGUGCUUAUUUAUUUUCUUCUGUUACAACGCACAAACAUAUUUGCUAUUUGAACUAAAUCACAUUGCCAAUUGCUCGUCUAUCAUGUCAAAUCAGAACCACGCAUCUAACCCUCCCAAGAUGUAGAUCGAUCGGUUUUACUCGGCAUUCAUUAUGGAUCGGAGGGAGUACUCCUAGAUCAUAUUCAAAAUUGCUCCACGCCACAAAUAAAACUGCACGGUACAUAUGGUAAAUCUGGGAAAGUGAUUUGCGUGGUAUGUGUGCCAUAAUCAACUGAAUUAUUGGACUAACCGCAUCAAGAUCGGAUCACAUCGAUCCUAUCCCCGUCGACGAGACUGUCCUCGAAUCAAAAUAUUUCUCCAAUGGACGCUCGUGUCCCACGCUCUGAAAGCGACGCCUUUUGUUUUGUCAGUUAAUUUUCACGUCAAGCUCACACCCACGCACGCACCGUGUAGGAUCCACGGCUCGACGCACCUCCCCUUCCCUCCCCUUCUCCCUAUUUAACGAGCUAGCCACCCCCACGCUUUUUGCACCUCAGCAAGCACCAACACACACACACACACAAGAAAUGGCGAUGGCUAGGACGACGACGCUCCUCCUCGUCGCCGCAGCUCUCCUCGCGGCCUCAUGCAGCGCAUGGGAGGUCAACAUCCGCAUGCCGACGUCGGCGGCGGACGUGGACGAGGCGGUGGUGGCGCCGCUGAUCCACGCGCUGCGGCCGCUGCUGGGCUCCGGCAAGCACGCCGGAGUGGCGUGCGACAGCUGGGUGCUGGGGGUGGAGGCGCACAACGUGCGGGACUGGAAGACGGUGCCCGCGAGCUGCGAGGGCUACGUCGGGCACUACAUGCUCGGCAGCCAUUUCCGCCGCGACUCCAAGGUCGUCAUCGACCAGGCCCUCGCCUACGUCGACUCCCUCAAGCUCGCCGGCAACGGCAAGGAGGUCUGGGUCUUCGACAUCGACGAGACCACCCUCUCCAACCUCCCCUACUACGCCAAGCACGGCUUCGGGUACGUACUUACACUCUUGUAUACAUUACAUAGACACUACUGAUUCUACGUGUAGUGCAUGCAUUAGACUUGCUAUUUACUGCAGGUACAUCCGACCGAGCAGGGACUUGCACUCAUCUUUUCACUAAGAUGAAGUGUAAAUAAUCUGACUAGAUAUAUAUUGUAAAAAAUCAACUCACUAGCUAGCUAAAAAAUACCAGCGAGAUCUGUAAUGAAUGAAAAUUGGAAAGCACAUAAGGAUAGAAAUAUUGGAAAUAAAAAGGAAUAUAAUCACUAAGUAGAAAAGUACUUUAAUCACAAGUGUUGGACACUUGGACAUCAUCAUUGCCAGUAGGACUCGGGCCAUAUGUCCCUAGUAUGAAUGGCCAACAAAACAAGAAGGAAACAUACUAUAUUUUGAGAUAGAGAUGUGAUGUUGAUGGGCAUGCGAAUGUGGUGGCCGGGUAGGACCGUAUAUGUUGUCCACUUGGCUACUUUAUGGAAAUGUUCUAAUUAUGUUAUGCUAGUCAACUCAUACUUUCUAAUUAUGUCAUACUUUUGUACACAUACACACUAUUGUAGUGCAUUAUACUCCCUCUCUAUCUAAAUACUUAGAGUUCGAAAGAACUAGGUGCAUUUCAGCAGGGGCUUGCACUGAUCUAUUCGUUCAGAUAAAAUAAAUAUCUUACUAGACCUCGUUCAAAUGAACUCACUAGCUAGAAAGCACUAGUAUCAUAAGAUUUCUAAUGAAUGAAAGUGGGAAAACAAAUGAGACUAGAAGUGGAAACAAGGAAUAUACUCACUAGCUAGAAAAGUAUUAAUUGGACGUGUUGGACACACUUAGGCAGCAUCAUUGCUGGUUACCUCAAAUCAGUCACAGAGACGGCCAUCAGGACCAUAAAUAUGUCCCGCCUAUGAAUGGUCAACAAAACAAGAAGGAAACAUAGUACUAUAGUUUGAGAAUAUGGUGGCCGGGGUAGGACCGUAUAUGUUCUCCACUUGGCUACUUUAUGGAAACGUUUAUUUCCAGCUGUCCUUAUCAGCCGAUACGUUCUAAUUAUGUUAUGCUAAUCGAUUGAUAUUUUCUGAUUAUGUUAUGCUAAACUUAGUUCAGAUGGAUAGUACUCCGAUACGUUUUCAUUAUUUUAUGCUAAUCUGAGUUUAGAUGGAUAUAAUUACUUAUUUUAGAAGAUGUGAGAGGUCAGAACAUCUUGUGCAUAGUUAGUAGUUACAUGCUACUCCCUCCGUUCCUAAAUACAAAUCUUUUAAAAGAUUUCACUAGUGGUCUACAUAUGAAGCAAAAUGAAUGAAUUUAUACUAUAAAAUAUGUUUAUAUACAUUCAUAUGUAUUACUCUAACCUCUAAAAAGAUUUAUAUUUAAGAAUGGAUGGAGUACAACUCUAUUCCUCUUUUCUCAAAUAGUUGAACACUAUUCCUCUUAGUUAAGAAGAUUCUCUUGAACCAAGAUGGAAACUAACUUGAAAUGUAGUAGAAGUCUAGGUGAUAUCUAGCCAACAUGAUGAUACCAGUUUAGUUCAAAACAUGAUUAACUAGCUCCGGAUAGCUUGCUUGUGUAUAUUUUGAAUGUGAUGAGGGAGCUAGUUCGUUGUGAUUUAAAAUAAACUGUACCUUGCCGUAAGAACUUUAAAGUGGAUCUACACUGGGCGGCUGGAAAAAGAUACAUAAAAGUAUAUAUAUGCGCAUCAAGGAAAAAAGAAAGAUCAAAAGCUUAUAACAGCAUGUCUAACUAAUCGAGCGGUUCAAAUAACUUUGUUUCAUCACAAUCAUGACAAAAUUAACCUUUUUUGUUGAAAGUCGGAACUCUGCAAUAAGGUUGCAAUGGUAGACCUAUUUUACCAAAGGAAUCAACAAAGCUGAGCUGCUGCGUACAAAGCUGUGCACGAUGAGAUUAAAUACUACAACUGCGUUUUCGGUCCAACAAAACAGUAGCGUGAUGAUGCCGGAGUGAACCUCGCUAUGUCACAUUCAUUGAUUUACUCCACUUGACCAACUUAAUUUACGACGUCCACAACUACGUACUGCUCAUGCACGUGCGUUACGUACAGAUACAGAGCAUCAUUGCGUUUACGUAUUGCCCAUCCCCUUGGCCAUUUGGCCACUUGGGCCAUAAUCUAGGUUGCCUAUGUUCCUUGGAUAUGCAUAAUUACUACUACUUCUUAGUAGCUGAUAUGAUUGAAUCUGCCAUUAAUCUAUCCUCGUAUACAUGUGCGUGCAGGGCUACACCGUUCAACGCGACCAGCUUCAACGCAUACGUGCUACAGGGGAGCGCGCCAGCCCUGCCGGAGACGAAGCGGCUGUACAACAAGCUGCGCUCGAUCGGCGUCAAGCCGGUGUUCCUCACCGGCCGGACUGAGGACCAGAGGGCCAUCACCGUCACCAACCUCCGCCGCCAGGGGAUCUCUGGGUGGAUGAACCUCUUGCUGAAGCAACCCGGGUUCAAGGGCUCUGCGGUGACCUACAAGUCCGGCGAGAGGCAGAAGCUGCAGGACGCCGGGUAUGUCAUCGUCGGUAACAUCGGCGACCAGUGGAGCGACAUCCUCGGCGCGCCAGAGGGUGCCCGCACCUUCAAGCUGCCCGACCCCAUGUACUACAUCGGCUAGGCCGCCUCUGGCUCGGCCGGGCAUGCUGCCAUUGAUUUCUCGAAUAAGCUCCAUGCUCUUAGUUAUAUGCAUGUUUCGUCAGAUAAUCAAUCCCCAAUUGUUGCUUGGUUCAUUUCCAUUGUUGAGAGCUUGAGAUCAAUUGCUACUAUGAAUUAGACGUGUAAGUGGAGAUGUUGCAUGCUGCUUAAUCAAUGGAUCUUUGUUAUGUUGUUUUUCUUUUUGCUCUAUUACAAGGAAUCCAUGGGCAUUAUUACUAUUUGAUAUCUUGUUCUUAAGUCUUAACUUGGAACUUAUAUUGCUGGUGGUAGAUUUUUCUGUACUAAAUUCUGCAUAUGGUGUAUUAAAUAUCAGGGACACAUAAUAUUGUCACACAUAUGGAAUCACUACUGCUAAAAUGACCAGUUCCUGAACCCAUCUGCUAUUGGGCCCAUUUUGGCCCGUCGGAGGAAGGGAUCAUCGUCGGUGGACAGGCAAAGAAGUGCUCGCAUAGACUCCUUCAAAAAAUGUGCCCUCAUAGACGACGGGUAUUUUCCACUGAUGUUGCGCAACUGGUGAUUGCAAUGUAGUUUGUGUCUUGCAUGUUGUAUGCAUAUGUAAUGAAUGUAACAUCUAAUAGUUAAUUAUGCAAGACAAAUAAAGCCCACCCUUUUCAGUAAGUUUAGAGCUAGAUUUGAGUUUGUCUUGGUCUCAUUUUUCUAAACAUACAAUCCUGGAGACAACUCGGUGAAGAAAUGAUGGUCCAAAUAGGUGUCUAACACGAAUCGUCAUCAAAGAAACCCUAUGGGAACCCACACUAUUCUAGUUACUUGGAUGAUUUGUAAUGAAAGAAAUAUAUGUGUCUUCCAAGUUAUUUUGACCAUGCCAAACAACAUCCCUGCUAAGAUAAAAAACGAUGUGGAGACUUGGAUAAAGGCCGGGCGAAGGAUCUGGGAAACAUUAUGCCAGGAGAGUAGUUCCGUUCUAUUAAUUUAUCCUUGGAUGACGUUUCGCGGAGAGAGGGGAGAGGGCGACCUGGGCGAUCUGGGAGCGUCGGGGGCCGCCGUGGGCAUCGUCGGAGAGGGGGAACAUCGGUACUCCUCCUCCGAUCUCGCAUCCCAGGCGCGGCGCCGGAGCCCGAUCUCGGCGGUGGAGGGACCUACUGUCCGUGUCCGAUGGAGAGUUGCGUACUCAGAGGCUGGUUAUUCGGAUCUGCGUGAGGGGCAGAUUGUUUUUCAUUCGGUUUCUCGUUGGAUGACACUACGGGAUGACGACGACGACAUCCUCGCCGGCUGCCAUCUCCAAGAGGAAGAUCUCAUCUGCGAAGGUGCGCAUUUCAUGGUGGAUAUCUUUUCUGUUACUUGUAUUUCUCCUUUCCUGCAGGUGAAUUCACAAGAACGGAUGCAGCCUGAUUUGGUGGACAUAUCUGACGAUGAUAAGAUCGCCUCACCAAGACUUCUCCCUCGAGUUGGGGGGAGGUUUUGGGUACUGGCUAAAGAUGAAGACGACGAGAACCACGACAUUGCCGUAGCACAGGAGGUCUCUGCUCCUUUCUGCGACCAGGUUUUCCAUCCGGCCACGAGGGAUUUUAUUCAUGCAUUGCCUGAUUCGAAGGUCGUUAAGGUAGUUCAACGCAAGGAGCGAUUGGCGAUUAAACCUUGGAGCGGUCCUCUGCCUAAGGUUCAUCUCGAACCAUUGCGGAUCUCGGACAUCAUACCUUGAGAGGCUUGGACUACUGUUUUGCCUAAGAGGAAGAACAAGGGUAAGAGCCGUAAAUUGCAGACGUCAGUCCCUGACAAGGUGCUGUCGUCCCGUGAUUCUCGCGAAUUACGUUUGAACGAGCCGAUGGCUGUUGUCGGGCCGUUGGGACCGGCGCUCGAGUUGGGCUUAAAAGAAACUGGGUAUAUGGCCCAGAUAGACUCCAAUCUAGCAAAACCUGCAAGUCCUACACCUACGGCUGCCCAGAUUUGCCUUGACGAGAAUCAUCAGGACUUGGUUUCUACGUCAAGUUUGCAUAUACCGAGUUCGGCUCUGCCUAGGGUUCCACGACGGCGUUUGCCUGGCUUCCCUUCGCUCGGGCCGGGUCGUGCAGUACGGGUUCCAGCGCUGCGGUGCAUGGCGGGGCGGGGAAACAAGCAGGCGCUGCCUCCCCCUCGACCACCGGCGGUUUCCCAGGCUGUGGGGCGGACUAGGCAGCAGCCCGUGAUGCCGCCAGGGCGCCAGACGGGCCAGGCUUCGGCUGCACCGGUUCCCGCUGCUGGUCAGGGUUUGCCCAACGCGGCUCGGGCGGAUACUAACAGGAUGCAGCCGAGAGGUCGAUGGGGGGAUGAUGGUGUUAAUGCAUAUGGUGAUGGACAGCACCGUGGAUCCUCUUCGUCUGGAGGAGGACGUGGCUAUGCCUGGCAGAGCAAUGGCAGCGCUGCUAAUGGGUUCGCCGGUCCUCCGGGACAGUUUGUGCCCCGGGUCUCGGGUCCUACUCACCCUAGGGAGGUGGAUAUAAGCAACAUUGGGGAGGGAGAGGUGGUGGCAGGAGAUUGAAGCCGCCCACGCCUCCAGUAGAGGUAGAUGCUGCCAAGACAACGGCGGGAGUACCUUCCAAUGCUCCUAAGGGGAAUACACUGCUGCCACCUGUUUCCGAGGAGGAUCCUUCCUUGGCUGACAAGGGAGUAUCGCUUGCGAAGGCAGAGGGGGGGGGAUAGGCCCUCCAAGUGGGCACGCAAAAAAGAAAAGAUGACAUGCUACCGUUGCAGUGAGACGGGUCAUUUUGUUUCCGAAUGCAGCGCGGAUCUGUGUGACUUUUGCUUAAAGCCUAAGCAUGGCUCAGCUAAGUGCCCCCUUACUGUUGGUCCUAUACAUGUCGUCACUUUAUAUGGGGUUUGCUGCCAAGAGUUGAUGUUCUUUGAAUCUCCCUCUGCUUCAACGUCGUUGCAUGUGCCAGACGCGGCCUAUACGGGGACGGUUACGGUGGCUCGUGGUAAUAUGUCAGCUGAGCAGGUGGUGCAACAGUUGAGGGAUCUUGUUUCAUCAAUGUUUCGGUGGGAACUGGUCCUUAUAGCAGAUAAUGUGUUCAAGGUUGUGUUCCCUACCAAGGAGGACCUAGCUAGACUGCUCAAGUUUGGUAUGUGUCGGGUUCCUAGUACUAGUUGUGUGCUAGAGUUCGAUGCUUGGAAGAAUGAGGAGCCAUAAGGUGUGCCACUUCCUCAGAUUUGGGUUCGUUUUUCAGGGGCCCCGUCAAAGGCUCUAAAUGACUUUCUGGUGACUUGGAGUUUGGGAUCUUUGAUAGGUAAGACUGAGAGGGUGGAUAUGCAAUAUACUCGGGCUAAAGGUGUUGCCAGGAUGAGGGUUAGUGUAAUUGAUAUUGCGCUAGUACCGGAUGAAGUUAUAUGGACUUAUGAUGGAAUGCGGUACACCUUGCAACUCGAGAUCGAGAGUCCGGAUAUGUUCGAGGAGGAUGGGACAGACAAAGAUACCGAUAUGGCUGACGGAGAUGAUGCUUCGGGUUCUAGGGAAUCUGAUAAGAAGGAUCAACAGCCAGUUAUUACAAAGAUGGUGGAUCAACCUACCUCAGGUUCUGCUACAGGGGCUGCUCAACCAGUGUCUCUUCCCUCGACGCAGCUUAGGUUCGGUUCCUUUGAACCAGCCUCGGCGCCAGAGAUUCGAGGGAGGGCUUCAGAGAAGUAUGAGCGGGAUCUGGUUCAUCUUAAGCCGCAAGGAAAGCAAGCAAAGUCAGGGUCAUUCAGUAUUAAAAAUCCUAAGGAAGCUUUGACCGUAGUUUCUCUUGGGGAAUAUUUUGUUGUCGCUAGGAAUGCUGAUACGGGCCGGUCUCAGCAACGUGAUGCAGUGCAGCCAGCAAGGCAUAUGUUGUCCGGGUUGGGUACUGUGCCGAGGGGUGCGCCGCCUGGGUCGCCUAGGCAGGGUUCGCUGCUGCUGUAGAGUCCAUCGCCAGCCACCCAGGGGGUUGCUGUUUCUCGGCCAGCCACCCCUGGGGCUGCUACCUUUUUGCCAGCCACACCGAGGGCAAUUACAGCGACUCCUCCUCCUGGCCUACUUCCGUCGUUGGAUGCUGCUGCGAGAUCCACCCCUGCUGCUGGUUUCAUGUCAGCCGAGAGAUCAACCCCUGUUGCUGCGGUUCCUAUCGCUACUAUGGCUGCAACCGGGGCAUCAUCUUUGCGGGUGUCAGGGCUGGAGGGUACUGGUCAGGGGCACCAUGGCGAGGUCGUUGCACCGCCGUCUGUUGAGCAGGUCAUAGCAUACGGAGGUAUUCAAAGUCCGCUGACUUCGGACAGGAGGUCCAGUCGGCGAAUUCAGAAUCAACCUGAUGCGGAUUAUUUACAGAUGGGACGUGCUAUGCGUGCGGCUAAAAUGAGAGAUGUCGAAACUGAGACAGGUAUGUCUUUCAGCAUUAACGAUUCUAUUCUUCAUUUUUCUCCUCAAGAUAUUCUAGAUAAGGCAGGUUCUAUUGGGGUUACAUUGGGGAACAAUGGCCGAGAAAUUUCGAAAUCUAUUAAUGAUCUAUUAGACUUAGAGGUCGAUAGAGCGUUAGACUUAGUACGAAAUUUAGCGGCAGUUAAACCAAUGCAAGAGUCUGAAGUUAACGAUCUAGGGGGACUGAAUUCUCUUUGUGAUAGUCUGGCCCCGUCAGUGGAUAUAGAGGAUGGUGCGGGCGAGGUUUUAGUUGGUCAAGGGAUGUGUGCCCAAUCUCAUAAGGCUGAGCCUCAAUUCUCUGGUUAUAUGGACCAGGAGUUGCUGGAAAAGCCGAAGCGUCCAUGGAGACGGAAAGUGUAUCCGGUCUCUGCGAUACGUAGAAGUGCUAGAUUUAAGAUUGCCAAAAAAAAUUAUGAUGAUUAAUGAGAGGAAUUUUUUGGAAUAGCAGAGGUCUUUGAGACUUGGCUAAAAGAAGAUUUCUAGCAGAGGCUACUUUAGAGCAUCACCUUGAUUUUAUCGCAGUGAUGGAGACAGGGAGGGAUAACUUUACGUCUCAUUUUUUAAGUUCUCUAUCAGCUGGGGUGGAUUUUGACUGGCACUGUCUCCCUCCAAGAGGAAGGUCCGGUGGGAUCUUACUUGGGGUCCGUUGUGACACUUUUCAAGUGCGGGAGGUGGUGUUUGGGGAGUUUGCAGUCAAAUUCAAGAUUAGAUCUAAGGAUGACGGGUUCCAAUGGGCUCUCGUUGCCGUCUAUGGCGUAGCACAGCCAGAUCUAAAGCCUGAUUUCCUAGCAGAUCUGGUCAGGAUUUGUGAUGACAAACUACCAUUGCUGGUAGGUGGAGAUUUUAAUAUUAUUAGGCGGGCUGAUGAAAAAAGUAGUGUUAAUUUUGAUGGAAGAUGGCCUUUCAUGUUUAACACAAUUAUUGAGAGCUUAGAUAUGAGGGAGACCGCUCUAUCAGGUAGGAAAUAUACCUGGGUGAAUGCUCUACAGAAUCAGACAUUUGAAAAGUUGGAUCGUGUCUUAACUAGUGUAGAGUGGGAGCAGAAGUUCCCUCUAGUAACUGUUAGAGAACUUCAACGCGCAAUCUCGGAUCAUACUCCUCUGUUGCUGGAUUCCGGUGAGGCUAGCCAUAUAGGAAACAAACAUGGAUUCUCUUUUGAAUCAAGUUGGUUCACAAGGGAGGGGUUCAUGGAUAUGGUCGAGAGGGAAUGGAAUACAGAGGUCAGGGGCGAAACCUCUAUAGAAAGAUGGCAGUAUAAGAUUAGACAUCUUAGACAGUAUUUGAGGGGCUGGUCUAAGAAUGUGUGUGGAAUAUAUAAAGAAGAGCAAGAUAAGCUCCUCAAACUUAUAGACAAUCUAGAUCGGAAGGCUGAGAGUUGUCUUCUGGAUGCUAACGAAAGGGAUCUCAAAUUCGAGGCCGGACAGCGCUUGCGUAUUCUCCUAAGAGAGGAGGAAAUGAAAUGGGCGCUUGAGCCAAAGUGAAGGCCAUAGUUCUUGGAGACAAUAACACUAAAUUUUUCCACUUGAUUGCAAAUGGCAAGCAUAGGAAAAAGAAAAUAGUGCAGCUUGAGCAAGAUGAGGGUACAAUACUAGGUCAUGAGAAUCUAAAAUUGUACAUCUCUAACUACUACAAACAUUUAUUUGGUGCUCCUGAGCAUAGCUUUGUGACUAUGGAUGAGCAAAAAGUGGCGGAUAUUCCUCAAGUUGGAGAGGCUGACAAUGAGAUUUUAUCCGCUCCUUUCUCAGAGAAAGAGGUGUUUGACGCGAUAGGGAAUAUGAAGAAUGGAAAAGCUCCCGGUCCAGAUGGGUUUCCGGCGGAGUUUUACAAGCACUGUUGGCAUAUUAUUAAGAAUGAUCUUAUGUCAAUGUUUGCUGAUCUUUUUAGUGGUCACCUUCAACUCUUCCAUUUGAAUUUUGGUACUAUUACACUCUUACCAAAGAAGGAAGGGGCCACGCGGAUUGAACAGUUUCGUCCGAUCUGUUUGUUGAAUGUUAGCUUCAAGAUUUUCACAAAGGUGGGAACAGAUAGGUUGACUAAGAUGGCCCAUUCGGUGGUACAAUCUACGCAAACAGCUUUUAUGCCAGGACGGAAUAUCCUUGAAGGAGUCGUUGUCUUGCAUGAAACUCUUCAUGAAAUGCACUCGAAGAAACUAGAUGGGGUUAUCUUUAAAGUGGAUUUCGAAAAAGCUUACGAUAAAGUCAAAUGGUCGUUUCUCCAGCAAACCCUACGUAUGAAGGGUUUCGAUGAGCUGUGGCGUAGGCACGUCGAUUGUUUUAUAAAGAAGGGAAGUGUGGGUGUCAAAGUGAAUGAUGAUGUGGGUCAUUUUUUCCAGACACUAAAGGGUCUCCGCCAAGGAGAUCCAAUGUCUCCCAUUUUAUUUAACAUUGUUGCUGAUAUGUUGGCACUGCUGAUUAAGCGGGCCAAUGAGAAGGACCUUGUAAGGGGCUUGAUCCCUCAUCUUGUUGAGGGGGGGAGUCUCCAUUUUACAAUAUGUGGAUGACACGAUUCUUUUUUUGGAGCAUGAUCUCAGUAAAGCCAGGAACCUCAAACUUAUCCUAUGCUUAUUUGAACAGCUAUUAGGGCUGAAGAUAAAUUUUCAUAAAAGUGAAUUGUUUUGCUUUGGAAAGGCCAAGGAUGAGCAGCUCACGUAUAAUCAAUUGUUUGGUUGUGCUAGCGGGAGUUUACCUUUUACUUAUUUAGGGAUCCCAAUUCAUCACAGAAAAUUAUCAAAUAAGGAUUGGAAAUGUAUCGAGGACCGUUUCGAAAAAAGUUGAGCUGUUGGAAGGGCGAGCUCUUAUCGUAUGGAGGAAGGUUGAUACUGGUUAAUUCAGUAUUAACAAGUAUGCCUAUGUUUCUCCUAUCCUUCUUUGAAGUACCUGUUGGGGUACGGAAAAGGUUGGAUUUCAAUCGAUCACGGUUUUUCUGGCAAAGUGAUGAGAUCAAGACUAAAUACAGACUCUCGAGAUGGGACAUCAUGUGUAGACCUAAGGAUCAAGGAGGUUUAGGGAUUGAAAAUUUAGAGAUUAAAAAUAAAUGUCUACUCAAUAAAUGGCUGUCUAGAUUAUCUAUGGAGACAAAGGGGUUGUGGGUACAAAUUCUGACGAAUAAAUACCUACAAAACAAGACUUUGGCGCAGGUUACAUUGAGACCAACUGAUUCACCGUUCUGGAAGGGGGUCAUGCGGUCUAAGAAUGCUUUUUUUCUCAGGUCUAAGUUUGUUAUUGGCAAUGGCCAAUCUACUAGAUUUUGGGAGGAUACUUGGUUGGGGGAGACGCCUUUAGCCAUGCAGUAUCCGCAACUCUACCAUAUUACACAAAGGCGUCAGGCGACUGUUGCGUCAAUUUUGCGCCAGGUUCCUCUAAAUAUUCAGUUAUGUAGAGCCUUAAUAGGUAACACAUGGUCAAGCUGGCUGCAUCUAGUGAGAAGGUUGUUGGAUAUUACCCUUACUGAGAACCCUGAUAGUGUUCGUUGGAAGUUGACCACUGAUGGAGUUUUCUCGGUAAAAUCUAUGUAUUUAGAUCUCAUAGAUUCUGUGUCCAUCCCGAAGUCCUUACAUAUUUGGAAGGUCAAAGUUCCACUUAGAAUUAAGAUCUUCAUGUGGUUUGUUCGCAAGGGGGUUAUUCUAACUAAGGAUAAUUUGGUCAAACGUAAAUGAAAAGGUAAUACUAGAUGCAGUUUUUGUGAGAACGAUGAAACAAUUAAACACCUCUUUCUGGACUGUCCUAUGGCUAAACUUCUAUGGCGAACACUUCUUAUUACUUUCAACAUUAAGCCACCCAAUAGUUUAAACACGUCAUUUGGGACGUGGUUAAGAGGGGUCGAUGAUAUAACUGCUAGCCUGAUCCGAGUAGGAUCAUGUGCACUUCUGUGGGCUACAUGAAACUGUAGAAAUGACUUGGUAUUUAACAAACAUCAACAUAUUCACUUUUUGCAGGUCAUUUUCAGGGUUAUUGCCUUGAUCCGCACAUGAUCAUUACUCACUCCUGUGGAAGCCAGGGAGCCUAUGGUUACUGGGUGUGUCCGAUGGAAGAUGGUAGCUCAGGUUAUCUUCAACCGUUUUGGAUGACGGCAUAUUAAUAGGAUAGGUGUUUAGUCAUCUAGGCUUAUUUCAAUGCCUCCCGGUUGUGGCGACGACGCCGUGUAUCUUUUUGUUAUUUUCUUCAUUUACUUAUCUGAAGACUCUUUGUACUUUUCGAGGAUUUGGUUUUGAAAUAAUAUAUGGCCGUAUGCAUCCUUCGAUGCCGAGGCCGGGGCUUUGCCUCCUUUUCAAAACAAAAAAAUUUAAUUUAUCCUUUCAUUGUUAACCCCUUUUUUGGACUGCAGUUAUUCUAACUCUCUUUUAAGUAAUGUAAUAAGGCAUAUCUUUUUCCUCCAUUUCGAGACAAAGUUCGGACCUAGCACAACUGUAACAUCCGCUCUACAUCGACUCACUCUAGAGAGACUAGUCUUGGCACCUUUUGCAGAACAUGAUUAGUGUCCUGACAUGGAGUAUUUUAGCAUAUAAUGGUCAACUCUCAAGCACAUAUCACUUCAAAUUGCAUUGCUGAAAAAGAACAUACACUUGCACGUUUUUCGAACUUUCACGCAACAAUAAAGUAACUCAAUGAAAUAUUAUGAUACACUCAAAAACAAUAAUAAGCACUCAACAAAAUAUCAACAGUUUUAUUUUGAUGGACGUAGUAGGACUGUAUCUGUUGUCCACUUGGCUACUUUAUCAACAUAUUUAUUUCAACCACCCUGAUCAACAGACAAUAUCUAAGUAUGUUAUGCUAAUUGAGUUAAAAUGGAUAAUCCUUAUUUUAUAAGAUGCAAGGAGUCGAAACAUAUUGUGAUUAGUUGCAUGCUACUAGCCUACUACAACACUAUUGAUCUUAGUUAAGAAGAUUAUCUUGUGAUUAGACGAAGUCUAGAUCAUCUAGCCAAGUAUGAAAAUAUUUAAAGGAGCGUGUGGAUACCUUUUCUUCUUUAAUAAAGGAAAAAAAAUUGUGUAUAUAUGCGAGUCUGAAAACAAAGAAAAGAAAGAUGGACAGCUUAUCACAGCUUCACAUAUGUCAUCUACUCCCUGCGUUCCUAAAUAUAAGUCUUUUAAAAGAUUUUACUAAAAGACUAUAUAUGAAGCAAAAUGAAUGAAUCUACAUUUUAAAUAUAUCUAUAUACAUUCUUUAGAAAGACUUAUAUUUAGGAACGGAGGGAGUAAUAGCUAAUUGAGGGGUUCAAAUAACUUUGUUUCGCAAUAAUGAUUGAAAAUCAACCUUUUGUUGAAAUCCGAAACUCUACGUACGGUAGACCUAUUUUUAUCAAGGGAAUCAACAAAGAUGAUCUGCUACAUAAAAAUGCGCGUAUGGUCACUCACGAGCCACAAGGACGAUGCUUGAGUAGUGAUGAGUGAGGUGCACGAUGAGAUUAAAUAUUCCAACUAGUGUAACCGAAAAGUAUAGUAAGUUAGACAUCGUUCUUGGUCCACGAAAAUAGUGGCGUGAUCGAUGACAUCUUGAUGCCGGCCGGAGACUAGGAUCUGGCUGUUUGAUAGGGUACCAAUUAAUUUAUACCCUCCACUUGGCCAACUUACUUCAUCACCAGUCGAUAACUGUAUACGCAUUGUUCCAUAUUCAUGCAUGCACGUGCUUACAGCCCAAGAGCAUUGGGUUUAGCUGGUGCUGUCUGAUCCGCUUGAACUCGUAGAAAAAGGGCCUUUGGCCUGGACCCUUUAGUCCCAGCCUGUCUUUCGGUCGGAACUAAAAGCCGGCCACGUCAUCCCAAAUUAUCAGUUUAACCCGCUUGGCCACCAUUUAUAUCAUUAAAAAACCUCAAAUUUGUAGCGGGGUGAGUUUACAUGUUACCUUGGAUCGCCAUUGUUUUUUUGGCCCUGCGUGUAACGACGAUGGCCGGAGUAGGCUCGUGCAGAUUAGUCCUCCUCUUGGUAAUUAAGGAGUAUAUAUCCACUAGCUAGUGUCUGACAUUCAGAACCUCCACUCGAUGGCCAGAGUAUUUGAUAUUUAUACUCUCCUCUUGGUAAUUAAGGAGUGCAUAUCCACUAGCUAGUGAUCUAAACGUUUCUAUAUUAAUUUAUGGAGGAAAUAUUUAAUAAGGUUAUUACCCAACAUUACAGGCGCCAUCCGAUAAACCAUAUCACUUUUUUUUGCGAGGACCUAAACCAUAUUCAAAAUGCAGAAUUACUGGCACGUGGUGUAGUUUACGGAUCGAGCCUCCUCCUUCGUGGGCACCAUAGUAGUCAUGCAAGACAUCGUAGUUAUAUAGUGGUCAAGUGUGAGUUAUGAUUGCUUGUAUAUUUUUUAUGCGAUUUAUGAGUCAAUAAAAGUGCUUUUAUUGAGAAAUGUAUCUAUAUUGAUUAUUGUUGAACCUGCCAUUAAUGUAACUAUUUACACAUGUGCGGGGCCAUGCCGUCCAACACGAGGAGCUUCAAAGCGUAUGUGUGGGAGGGGAGUGCGUCGAUGCUGCAAUGACGAACUGCUCUUGGUCGGCGUCCAGCCGGUGUUCCUCACCGGCCAGACCGAGGACCAUAGGGACAUCAUCGUCACCAACCUCCACCGCCCGAGUUCAAGGGCUCCACGGUAACCUACAAGUCUCAUGAGAGGCAGAAGUUGCCGACGACCUGGUAUGUCAUCGUGGGCACCAUUGAUGACCAAGGGAACGACAUCCUGGGGGUAUCCGGUGGGGGGCACACCUUCAAGUUGCCCGACCACAACGGCUAGGCUACAUAGAGAUCGGCCAUGCCUUGAUUGAUUUCUUGAGUAAGCUCUAUGCUUUCAAUUGUAUGCAUGUUUAGUAAACAAUCCCUCCCUAGUUGUUGCUUUGUUCAUUUUCAUUGUCGAGAACUUGAGAUCAAUAGUUAGUAUUUAUAAGACGUGUUACGCUAAAAGUUGCAUGCAACAUAAUCAAUGGUUUGUUGGUUUUAUUGUUUCUCUCUAUUACGAGAUCCAUGGGCUAUAUUGUUGUUUGAUGUAUUGUAAUUCUUAACUUGGAUCUGUAAUAUUGAUCAUGGUGUACUUUUUAACUAAAGAUUGUUGAUGGUGGAAUUAGUAUGAAAGGUACAUAGUGCUGUCACACAUAGGGUGUCACUACUCCCAUUUUGGCCCAACAGAAGGAAGGGUCAUCAUUUACGGGUCACCAGACUGCGUUAGUAUAGAGGCAACAAGGUAUUUUAACCAUGCCGAACAUCAUUAUUGUGAAGAUUAAAAAUGAGGCGGCAACUUGGGUCAAUUUUUGGGGUGGAGGAUUUGAGAAACACUAUGCCCCGUGAGAAACUCCGCUAUAUUAUUUAAGUCUUUCGUUUUUAGCCUCUCUUUUUUCGGCAGCGGUUCUUCCAACUCUCCUAGUAAAUAGAAAGGGGGAAAGAAAAUCUUUUGCCUCCAUUUUGAAAAAGAAAAGGUUGAGACUAACAUCCCUUUCCAUCGACCCACUCUAGAGAGUGUCUCCAACCUUGUUUUCUUGGCCCUUUUGCAUGACAUGAGUAGUGUCCUAACAUGGACUCCUUGAUGUGUAACGCUCAGCUCUCCUGACCAAAUCGCUUAGAAUUACAUCACACGCAAAAGUUAUAUACUUUUGCAUGUUUUUCGCACGUCAAUGCAACAUUAAAAAUUUCAAUGAAACAUUAUGAUACAUUUUGAAACAAAAAAGAACUCAGCAAAACAUACUGUGGAAAUAGAAAAUUUUUGCCAACAACUAAAAAAACGCAGUCAUCAAUUUAGCCGCAACAAAAAUAAGAUGUUAGAAGUCAGAACAUCUUGUGCAUGAUUAUAUGCUAUAGGACUAUUCAUUAGAGAAACUAGUUGGGUAAAACUUUCUCCUUUUUCCGAAUCUCCUUUUUAAUGUGGGGAAAAAGCUAAUGCAUUGUGGUUUAAAGUAAAUAUUACAUCGGCCUGGGAAAUUUAAAAUGAAUCUAGACUGGACGGCUACAAAGAGAACCAUAAAAGUAUUCAAGCACGUCAGAAGAAAAGGAAAGAUAAAAUUCAAAAAAGAAAAGAGAAAAGGAAAGAUGAACAACCUAUCACUUGCCUCAUAUCUUUACCUAAUAAUAAAGAGGCUAUUGCUUCCGUCGAAAAACCCACCGCUGCCGUUUUUUAAAAAGCCCCCUGUCUUUUAGGUAAUUAAACCCGCAGUACCUUUUUAUGUGUUACGAACAUGAAAACGUUUCAUUUUUGCAGGGAGCCUCCCAUGGCAUUGGAUAAGAGAAACGCAUCUGGGCUGACGAAAACGCACGAGAGGGCUAUCGCUUCUGCCCUCAUAAUCCCACAUCGAUACUUCACAGAUAAUUUCAUCACUUUAUAUACAUGCGCCUUGGUGAUUUUACAAGAGGCAACGGAAAUCAAGAGAGGAACAAAUUCGAGAAGAAGAAAUUGAGAUGACGCAAACAGAGGUGGAGCUGCGAGACAGAGGGGGCUCGGGGCGAAGGAAAGGGUCGGGCGCCGGCGAUGCAUACGUGGAGGUGGGGGCGUCGGGGUUAGAGGAUUCAGGCAACCGGCGGGGUAAGUCUUGCCGGAGACUGGCCCCAUAGGCCGACCUCGCAGCAGCACACCAUGGGAGGUGGUCGCGAGGUGCAGAGGUGGGAGGCGGUGGAGGAGCGGAGGAGGAGGCGAGUGCGGGCGCCAUUGGAAGGGGGGAGUCGGGGAGAUUGGGGAUCCUGUGGGGCUCUCUCCCCUAGCGGCGCGAGGUGGAGGAGAGGAGGGGGGCUGGGGAUCGGGCUAGGUUAGGGGAUUUAGGAGUGGGUAAGGCUAUGCCUUGGCACGCCUAAUGGGUUGUGCACUACUACUCAUCUCUCUUUCCUUUAAUUUCUUUAUCUAAAUUCUUUAAUUAAAAAUAUGUGGUAUUAUUUUUUUUCCGUUGCAACGCACGGGUCCUUUUGCUAGUAUCAUCUAACAAAUCGAGGGGUUCGCAUAGAUCUGCUUCGCCACAUAAUAAUAUAAUCAUGACAAAAGGCUACCUUCUGGUGAAAGCAGAAGCUCUGCAAUAAAGCUGCAAUCGUAGACCUAUUUUAUGAAGGGAACCAACAAAUCGAGCUGCACAAUCCAAUUAAAUACUAAUUCCUCCGUUCCUAAAUAUAAGAUUUUUUAAAGAUUAUAUUAUGAACUACAUAAAAAGAAAAAUGAAUGAAUCUAUAUUUUAAAAUAUGUUUAUAUACAUUUGUAUGUAGUUCAUAGUUAAAUCUAUAAAAGGUCUUAUAUUUAAAAACAGAGGGAGUAUAAGUACUGAGUAAGUUUGACAUUUGUUCUUGGUCCAACAAAACAGUCGUGUGACCCAUGACGAAGCGGCGAUGCCGGAGUUGGAUCUCACUGUCUGAUAUUUAUCGAUUUGUGCCCUCCACUUGGCCAGCUUAAUUGAUCACCAGUCUCUUUCAUUGACAAUUAGUGCUGCUCAUACACGUGCGUUGCAUACAGAUGAUAUAUUGGGUUUAGGUACGGCUGUCUGAUCCACUUGGCCACCUUCUCACUAGAAAGCUCAAGUUUGCAGCGACGAGUUUGCAUGUUACUACAUUGGAUCGCCGUUGUUUAGCCCUGCGUGUGUGAUGAGGGGCGGAGACCCGGAGCAGACCCGUGCAGAUUCGUAUUCCCUUGGUUAUGUUUUAUUCUGUAUAUUAGGUUUGUAUAAUGUAAAACCUAAAUUUGCUUCGCCACAUAAUAUAAAAUAAUAUAAUCAUGACAAAGGCUACCUUCUGGUGAAAGCAGAAGCUCUGCAAUCAAGCUGCAAUCGUAGACCUAUUUUAUGGAGGGAACCAACAAAUCGAGCUGCACAAUCAAAUUAAAUACUACUCCCUCCCUUUUUAAAUAUAAAAACUUUUAAAAAUUAUACUAUGAACUAUAUAAGAAACGGAAUGAGUGAAUCAAUACUCUAAAAUACUCCCUCCGUUCUAAAAUAGGUGUCUUAACCUUAAUACAAUUUUGUACUAGAUCUAGUACAAAGUUGAGACAAUUAUUUUAAGACAGAGAGAGUAUGUCUAUAUAUAUUUAUAUGUAGUUUAUGUUGGCUUUGGAUCCGUAGAUUAAUUCACCCAGUAGCUACCACAUACGUGCAAGCUAGCCUCUAAGCUAGCAAGCAGGCACACAAGUGGAUGGAUAUCCAAUUCGUAGAAAUAGAACGACGUACGACGAGCUAGCUAACUGAUUCGAUCGUCUUGACUGCUCGGAAUGUAACUCGUUGAAAAACUGAUCGAUGGAUUGCUAACAGGCUCGUAUCGAGCCUGGUACUUUUUUAUUGCGUUUUGAUCUCUGGUGUUACAAGCAACAUCUCUAGGAUGCCUUUUAUACACAUCCACAAGGAACUAUGAAAAUAGACUAGGACUAGGUAUCCUAAUACUACUAGAACUCGGUUUGAUUUUCUUUCCUAAUCCUAUGUGUACAAGGCAACGUGAUUAACUCACAUUCACCCCCUAAUCACGAUGUCCUUACUUCCGACCUGGGUCCCAAACACGAUUGCUGCUUCUCAUAAAUGUUAUCAUCGACAUGGCCUUUGUCGUCCCUUGCAACAUUUUAUGGACCGUCUUUACUGUCGUCGGCUCGUCCGUAGCUCGAUGACAACACUCCUUUUUGGUCGUGUCUUCAAUCUUCAUCUCUUCUUCGGUGCUUUGUAGACUGUCCUUCGGAUCAUCGAGGGUACAUCUUUUGAACCUGAGCGUGACCAUACUUUGGUCUAACUUUGAAUUUCAAGCUCUUGGCGCUUGCAUCAGCCCGUAACUUUGAACCACAAGGAAGAAGUACUUCUUUCCUCCGUGAGUUGCUGGGGUGAUAGGGCCACAUAGAUCACCAUGGAGCAGCUAGAGUGCAUCACUUGCACGAUAGGUAGACUGAGCAGGGAACGGCCUGCGGUGCUGUUUUCCAACCAAGCACCCGUCACAUACUCGAUCAACAUGGUCGAUAACUGGCAUCCCGGAUACCAUCUCCAUCUUUGACAUCUUCUUCAAGGCGUAGAAGUUAACAUGUCCGAAUCAUCAUCACUCUUGGCGAGCCAACACUCCAGUUGAGAUUGAUCAAGGUUGAGGAUAUAGAGCCUGUUCCGUGUGCGAGUAACACGAGCUAGCACGUUUCGGAGGUUGUCGAAGAUCGUCAUUACUCCGUUAUCGAUACCCACCUUGCAUCCAUUCUCGUCAAGCUUCCCAAUAAAGAUGAUGUUGUUGUGAAGCCGUGGGAUGUAGUACACUCCGGUAAGUAUGCGAUGUUCGCCUGUGAGACCCUCGAAGAGGACAGAUCCUUGCCCACAAAUCUCCACAUUUGAACCAUCACCGAACUUGACUGAGCCUUCAACAUCGUAUUCCAGCUCGAGGAAUUUCUCCUUGCACCCCGUCAUGUGGUUACUGGCACCCGUGUCGAGAUACCACAACACAUUCUGAUCACCAGCUAACUUCGGUGUCACUUUGUUUUCAUGAAGUAGCACCUUCCGGCUUGGUUUCACAACCACCGUUUCAGCGAGAUCACAAACUUCGGCCAUCAGAAGACCUGGACCUUCGUCUUCCUCCUUUGCCAAAUUUGCCUUGAUCUCUCGCUUGUCAUGCUCCGGACAAUCCUUUGCAAAGUGACCCAUCUCGUUGCAGUUAUAGCACUUGACCUCGGACAUAUCCAAGUUCCGUUGCUUCCGCCCUUUAGAUCGGUCAGCCUUACCACGACCUUGUAGCUUGCCUUUUCCUUUGCCUUCUCCGGUUUGUCCGCCGCGCGUUGUGCUGCUUGAGCCUUCGUUGCCAUCACACCUUCCUUUGCUACUUGGGGACUCCCAAUCUGCACGUGAGUACAUGAGUUGGUCACUACCUCCUCCGUUGCCUUCCCGACAACUACGAGAAUUCUCUUCCCACGUCCGCAGGCGUCCGAUCGCCUCCGUUAUGGUCAUGUCGUCGAUGUCGUAAAGCUGCUCGAGCGUGCCAAUGAUGUACGUGAAUUUUUUAGUCACCGAACUGAAAAAUUUCUCCACAAUCUCGGUCUCCUCGAGCUUUGCACCAAGCGCGCGGAUCUCUCCCACCAAAGUAGUAAGACGCAUGGCAUAGUCGUUCACCGAUUCAGUUUUCUCCAUCUGCAACUUGUGAAAUUGGCGCUUCAGCACUUGUGCCCGAGCCUUGGUGACGCGAUCUUCUCCGAUCCUCAUCUCGUUGAGUGCGUUCCACGCCUCUCUUGCCGUCUCGAACUCCACCAAUGUCAUCAGCACGGAAUCCGGCACAGACUGGGCUAUGGCGGCCAUGGCACCUUCGUCGCGCUCCUCGUCGACGUCGUCGUCCGUGAUGGCCUCCCACACUCGAAGAGAUCGGAGAAUAAUCUUCAUCUUCACCGCCCACACGUCAUAGUUGGCAUCGGUGAGCAUCGGGUACUGGAUGGGGAUGUUGCGAUGCGCCUGGACGUUGGCGCUGCUCGUUCCUCCAUCACUCGUUGCUGACUUGUCGUCCUUCUUCACCUUGUCGUCGUUCUUGUUCGCCUUGGCACCGCCUUUGCCGGAUUUGACCGACUCAGCGUCGCUGUCCGUCAUCGUAGAUCGUAGAUCGUCGAGGCUCUGAUACCAAUUGUUGGCUCUGGAUCUGUAGAUCAAUUCACCCAGCAGCUACCACGUACGUGCAAGCUAGCCUCUAAGCUAGCAAGCAGGCACACAGGUGGAUGGAUAUCCAAUAGAACGACGACGAGCUAGCUGACUGAUUCGAUCGUCUUGACUGCUUGGAACGUAACUCGGUGAAAAACUGAUCGAUGGAUUGCUAACAGGCUCGUAUCGAGCCUGGUACUUUUUGUAUUGCGUUUUGAUCUCUGGUGUUAUAAGCAACAUCCCUAGGGUGUCUUUUAUACACAUCCACAAGGGACUAUGAAAAUAGACUAGGACUAGGUAUCCUAAUACUACUAGGACUCGGUUUGACUAUCUUUCUUAAUCCUAUGUGUACAAGGCAACGUGAUUAACUCACAGUUCAUAGUUGAAUCUUUAAAAGGGCUUAUAUUUAAGAACGAAGGGAGUAUAAGUAGUGAGUAAGUUUGGGACACGCCGUUUUGGCUCCCGGACUCAGAUGAGCCCGAGCGUAAACAGUACGCCAGUUUGGGGUGCAAAAAAUGUUCCAAAAAAUCAAAAAAAAUUGUGAUGCAAGAUGCUCCUAUGUGUGAACUCUCUGUAAAAUUUUGUGAAGUUUGGACAUACGAGGAGCUCACUGCAAAAAAGACGAAAUUCAGAUGUGUGAGAAACUUUUGAAAAUCACACUAUUCAUGCCUGAUUUUGUCUUUUUUGCUGCAAACUCUUCAAAUGUCCAAACUUCAUAAAAUUUUACAGAGUUCACACAUCGAAGCAUCUUGCAUCAUAAAAAAAUAUUUUUUUUAAACUUUUUUGUAUUCCAAACCGUUGUACUGUUCACCGGGCUCAUACGAGCCCGGGCUCACAGAUGGAUUACCGGUAAGUUUGACAUUUGUUCUUGGUCCAACAAAACAAUGGUGUGAUCGAUGACCAAGCGGCGAUGCCGGAGUUGGAUCUCGCUGUGUGAUAUUUAUCGAUUUGUGCCCUCCACUUGGCCAGCUUAAUUGAUCGCCAGUCUCCUUCAUUGACAAUUAGUGCUGCUCAUACACAUGCGUUGCAUACAAAUGAUAUAUUGGGUUUAGGUACGGCUGUCUGAUCCACCUGGCCACCUUCUCACUAGAAAAGCUCAAGUUUGCAGCGACGAGUUUGCAUGUUACUACUCCCUGUGUACCGAAAUAUAAGACCUUUAAGAAAAAUUCCGACCAGAUGAAAAUGUGGACAAUUGACCAGGUUACCCCCCACCUCCGGCAGCUCGCUAAUUUCAAAUCAACCCAGAUCCAGUCGCCCCCCACCUCCGGCCAGCUCGCUAAUAACCCAGAUCUCACUACUCUGCUUGUCCGCUCCCUCCUCUGCCCCAGCUUGUCCGCUCCCUCCUCUGCCCCAGCUUGUGCGGCCCCUCCUCUGCCCCUACCUCCUCUGCCCAGCUCGUCUGCUAGCUACCAGCAGCUUCUCCAGUAGCCAGCGGCAGCAGCUCCUCCGGCAGCUAGCAGUAGAUCCAGCAGCUCCUCCACCAGCCAAUAGGAACUCCAGCAGCUCCUCCACCAGCUAGCACGAGCUCCAGCAGCUCCUCCACCAGACACCAGCACCAGCUCAUCCACCAGCCAGCGGCAGCCCCUCUGUCUGCCGGCAGAAGCAGCUCUUCCGCCUCUGCACUCCCAGCUGCCUCAACGAGGUCCUCUCCCAGUGAUGCACCCAUCGCCCAACAGAUCGCCGGAGGUUUUUCUUUUGAUCCAGGGUGCAGAUCGCCACAGGAGGUCCUAGUGGUGUUGGAUCCUGCUUAUCCCGUCUCCUGCAAACCAAAAAAGCAGGACAAUUAGAGGGUAUUUAUCACAACUUAGCAACAGUUGAACAGAAAACAGUUUAACAACAGCAGCAAAAAUUUUAGCGAGAUCAACAACAUCAGUAGCAGCAUCAAGACAUAGCAACAAUAGCAGCAAUAGGGAGACAUAGAAGUAGCGACAUGGAGUGGCAGCAGGAGUUCAUCAAAAUCAAUAGGGAGUAGCAGCAGCAGGAGUUCAUCACAAUCAAAAUCAACAGGGAGUGGCAACAACAUGGAAUUUGACCUCAACUGUACUCCGCCCGAAGAAGAUGAGAUCAGUCAAAAUGAGAUCAACAUGGAGGACUCACAGGGAGGCAAUGAUCAUGUUGAAGAUGAGAUCAACAUGGAGGACUCACAGAGAGGCAAUGAUCCUGGUGAACAUGAUAUGAACAUGGAGCAAAUAAGGGGAGGCAAUGAUCCCCACGAAGAUGAUAACAGUAAGCACAAUAUACUCAUUUAGCAGUAACAGUGUCUCAUUUACCAAGUUUUUGAAAAUGAACAGCAAGUCUAGUUUCUGAAGAUGAACAGUAACUCCACUUUCUAGAAAUAAACAGUAAUAGUAACUCAUUUGAUCAUUUGAACAUGUGACCAUUUAAAUAUUUUAUCAAUUUAUCAUUUGAUAAUUUGAGUAGGACUAAUAUUUUUUCAUUGUUGUGUUUCUUGUUGCAGUUCUUGAGCAAGGAGUUAGAAAGAGGAAAACUCUGAGUGACCAACAAAAAUAUGCUGCUUAUGUGGCAUUGCACAUAUUAUGUAUGAGUAGAGGUGGAAAGUUCAAGAUAACGGAUAAGAAAAACCUUGCACAUUUUUUUAAUGUAGAAUUGAGGAGUAUACAAAGAGUUUGGCAGAAGGCGAUGAAGCAAAUUUCAGAAGGUUUCGAGGUGGAUGUUUCCAACCAGAAAAAAGGAAAUGUGGAAGAAAACCAAAGGACAUCAACCUAGAGAAAAUCCCUACAAUACCACUCAAUAGUAGGUCUACUAUCAGAUCAUUAGCCUGGCAACUGGGAUGUAGCCCUACCACUCUCCACAGGAAUUCAAAAUGAAGUUGAUAAAGAGGCAUACAAACUGUGUCAAGCCAGCUCUAAAGGAAAAGAAUAAGAAGGAUAGAAUGAAAUUUUGCUUGUCAAUGCUUGAUGAGGCAACAACAAAAACUGCAAGGCCUAAGUUCAAGACUAUGCAUAAUGUUGUACAUAUUGAUGAGAAGUGGUUUACGAUGACCAAGAAGAAUAAAACUUAUUAUCUGCUGGAUGGGGAGGAAGAGCCUACAAGGCCUAUACAUGGCAACUGUAUUGGCAAGGUUAUGUUCUUGACGGGCGUAGCUAGGCCACGGUGGGAUAGUGAAGGAAAUGUGACCUUCUCUGGAAAAACCGAUGAACUCACGAUAAACUGCGUGCGCUCUUUGUCCCAGUUUCAGUUCCCUUGUUCUUGCUUUUCUAUAUCCCGAUGAACUCACGAAUCCAUGAUCCAUGGUCAAUCCCCAAUAUAUAUACUCAAGCAAUAUACUCUCUCAGCAGUAUAUAAUCAAUCAUACAGGAAAGAGUAUCACUCUCUCAGCAGAAUACAUACUCACGAAUCCAUGGUCAAUAGCAGCAUAUACUCCGUGUGGGGAUUAGUCUAGCUCGUAAGCCACGGGUCCAAAUCAAGCAAUAUAUCUACACUAGAAUCUGUAGCAGAGUACACAUCUGACAAAACCGAGAGAUGUGGAGAGGAAGGGGGUAAGAGACGGAAGGGUACCUGGGUGAGGUCGCUGAGGUGGAAGCAGCCGGUGGAGCGGUCGAGGUCGCCGCUAGGGUGUCGCCGGUGCACUGGAGCUCUGCCAACUCGUCCCCAACUCGACGCCCAGCUCGACGCCCAGUCCGGCGCCCAGCUCGAUGCCCAGGUCGACGCCGUCAUUGCUCGGGCUCGGCUUCAGCGCCUCCUUCACCCUGUCCUUGCUCGCCCAGCUCGUCGGCUUCUUGGUCUCGACGAGGCUCCCGCUGAAGUACUCCACCCCCGCCGCCGCAUAGACGAGCAACCCAACUGAGGGCGCCCGCAGCUCCCGCUGAAGUGAUCUGCUAUGUCCAGCACCACUCCGUCAUCCAUAUCCAACAUCGGCGCCCACACCAGCUCUGUCGAUGCAAAACAAACACAUUUUUGACCUUUGAGUGGGAAAGGAAGGAGAGGAAGCACGCAGUGGGAAAGGAAGGAGACAACACACGCGGUGGGCUGUGGGAGGAAGAACGCGGUGGGCUGUAGGAGGAAGAACGGUGGGCUACGGUGGCCGGCGACGACGUAGAGAGGCGACGAGGGAGGGGAAUGAGAGGGUGUGAGAUCUGGGCAGCGAGUGGAUGAGAAUGGGCAGGUGGGGGCAUUUUCGGAAACUCGGAAAGUUUCGUAGUGUCGCGAGAUUUACACUAGAAUCGCUAAAACGUCUUAUAUUUCGGUACAGAGGGAGUACAUUGGAGCAGACCUGUGCAGAUUCGUACUCCCUUCGUUUUUAUUUAUUCUGUAUAUCAGGUUUAUAUAAUGUCAAACCUAAAUCCUUUUAACAAAUUUGUAGAAAAAUAUAUCAACAUAAUCCCUUCAUUUCACAAUUUAGCGCUCGUUCGUGUGCUUUUCGAGAUCUAAGUUUGACCAUACCUUUAAACAAGAAGACCGAUUGCUAUGGGAGCAAAAAUUGAAUCACUGAAUUUGUAUUGAAAUUAAAUACUGAAUUUGUAUCGAAAAUAUAAAUUCAUUGGUAUAAUUUCUGUUGCCACCGCAGUCGGUCUCGUUGGUGAAAUUUAUGGUCAAACUUAGACCUCAAAAAACGCGAGCGCACUACAUUGUGGAACGGAGGGAGUAUACACCAUCAAAUCAAUAUCAUUGGAUUCAUCAUUUCAUAUAUUUUCACAUCAUAUAAAUUUAUUAUUGUAAAUGUUCAUAUCGUUUUCUACAAAUUUCAUCAUACUUUAGAUAGUUUGACUUCAGACAAAACUAAUAUGAGGAGUAAAUAAAAUCAGAGGGGUACCACUCCUAGUAAUUAAUGUGUAUAUCCACUAGCUGCUGAUUGACAUUCAAAUUCUCCACUUGACGAUGGCCAGAGUAUCUGAUAUUCAAACUCUCCACUUGGCCACCUUAUUUCUUCUCCCCAAAUGAGCUAUGAACUGCUCAUUCAUCCAACAUUAAAAUCACUGUGAUGAAACUCUACUCUUUCAGUUUCAUAAUUAGUGCAUAUAGUUUUUCCCCAAAAAACUAAACUUUGACAAAGAUUAUAAAUAAAAAGUCUAUAUCUAGCACAUUGAAUACAUACCAAUAGAUUCGUCAAAAAUAUUUGCAUAUAUUAUAUGAUGGUAUUGUGGAUAUACAUAGAGUUAUCUAUAAACUUGGUCAGAUUUUACAAUGUUUGACUUUUCUAUAAAACCAAUAUGCACUACACUAGGGGAUGGAGGGAGUAUCGUAUGAAAUAUUAUGUGGAAUUAUUCCGUUUCAGACAAUGUUUGGUAUCAAACACAACAGGUACAAUGUUCUAUAGUUUCUCCAAUGUGCAGAAUUAUUAGUUGAAUUGGCAAUUAUUUACAGGAGGGGAGUGCGCUGGUGUGACCGAAAACUAAGUGGAUCGAUGUAUAACAAGCUUCUUUUGGUCGGCAUCAAGACGGUGUUCCUCAUUGUCCGAAUCGAGGACCGGAGUGCAGUAAAUUUUACCAAUCUAUGAUGCGCUCUGGGUGGAUGAAACUGCUCCAAAAGUUGCCCGAGUUCAACGACUCUGUGGUGACCUACGAAUCCGGCGAGCGGCAGAAGUUGCAAGACGUCAGGUAUGAUAUCGUAGGCAACAAUAGUGACCAGUGGAGUGACAUCCUCGACACACCCAAGGGCACCCGCACCUUUAAGCUUCCCUACCCGAUGUACUAAAUCGGCUAGGUUGAAUGCUAGCUAAUCGUCCACGAAUAAGCUCCAUGUUGUUCACUAUCCAUGCUUUGUGAUUACCUUUUUUCCGGGCAUGCUUCCUCAAUACUAAUCCACUAUUACUGCUAGUUUUCUAAUUUCUAUUGAGAAAUCUAUUGCUGCUUGGUUAAAUUCCAUAGUUGGGACCUUGAGUCAGUUACUAGUAUUAAUAAGGUAUGCUACAAAGAAAUUGCAUCUUGCAUAAUCAAUGAAUCGAUGCUCCAUUUUUCCUUGAUUAUAUAAUAUAUGUAGUUUCUAUUUUACACUUUGAUUUAUUUAUUUUUUACUUUUAAUAUUUCCUUUUUUUUCAUUUUCUAGUUUUAUGUUUUAUUUUUUUAUUUGAUCUCCCUUAUGUAUUUAUUUUCUUAUUUUAUUCUUUAGAAUGCUUUCUAUUUGUAAAAAAUAAUGAAUUUUUCCAUACCCUAAUAGUUAAAAACAAUUCCGGGAUAUUAAAAUUACGAUGAACAAGGUCCUAAUAUACGUCGAGAUUUUCCCAAAUACCUGAUGAAUAGUUUUUAUAUGUUUAAGUACAUUUAUAAUUUUGUAAUUACACCAUCAAAUUUAAAUAUAUUUUAAAUAUUUGUUGAAUGCACAAAAAGCAUUUACUAAAUAAUUCGGAACAUUUGCUAUUACAUUGUGAACAUUUCUAGAAUACACAUUGAACAGUUUCCAAACCAUGAUGACUUUUCUAAAUAUGCAUUAUAAAAUUUUCAGUUACACGAACUAAACUGUUUUACCCUGAAUUAUUAUUAUUUUUAAAUUUGUUUUUUCUUAGAAUUAUAAAUAAAAUUAAAUUGAAGUGUUUCAGAGUAUAAAGGACAGAACGGGUAAAAACAAUGACAGAAAAAAUAAAAAUUGCAUUGGGUCGGGUCAUUGUGGAAUACUAUGGGCGAGCCCAAAGGAGUGUUCAUUACUGGUGAAUUAUAGUAGCAACGUGAGGGAAAGUGUGCUUCUCAGCCCGAGCUCAAAUGAGCUCUGGUGAACAGUAAAAUCCAAAAAUAAUUAAAAAAAUAUGAAAUUGUUUGGUGAAAGAAAUUGAAAAUAGUCGUAACUGCCUCCAAAAUUGUAUUAUGAAAUAACAUUUAUUGAAGCCAUGGAGAAAACAAAAUCGAUACUCCAAAAUGCUUUUGAAAUUAGUAUUUUCAGAGUAUCGAUUUUGUUUUUUUGCCACAUGUCACACAAAUGUGAUUUUCUGAUGAAAUCUUGCAAGAUAUUAGAACUUUUGCCAAUGUUUAUCACAAAAAAAAAUAGAUUUUUCUGGAUUUUUUUAAUUUAGUUUUGAUUUUACUGUUCAUCAAAGCUCAUUUGAGCUCGGGCUGAGAAACUCCACAUCCCAACGUGAGCGCCUAUUUGGUGUCGUGCUCAUUUCUGGUAGCCGACAAACUGAGUGGUUUUGUGCGUGACGUAAAAGACACAAAACAAUCAGGGCACUUCGAAGGAAUCAACGUUGUGUCCUUUCACAGGGAAUGCGUGAUGCUAGUUGCUGGCCACUCGUGCCAACAAUUUUUGCUAAUAGAAACACAACAACAAUGUGCAGGAAAUUACUGCAGCGGUGAAUUCCAAAUAUUUUCUAAAGUACACAAAUAUUUCAUCAAAUCUGAACGUUUUUUGAAAAAUCACAGUAUUUUUAAGAUGCCCAAUAUUUUUUUUAACUUUUCAGAAUAUUUUAAAUUUCAAACUUUUUUUUUAAAUUGCCAAACAUGUUUUGAAUUUGUGGACAAAACUUUUGAACAGAGAAACAGUUUUACAACAUCUGAAACCUUUUUUGGAACGCAAUAAGUUUUUCCAAAUUUCCAAGCAUUUACAGAAAAUGGAACAUAUAUUGACCAUUUCCAAACAUUUUUCAAAAACAUGAAUACUUUUUGAUUUAUGAACAUCAUUUCAAAACAGGAACAUUUUUUGAUAAUUCUGAACUAUGUUAGAAAAUGCGAACAAUUUUUGGACGUUUGUUGAGAACCCAAUCAUUUUUAGAAGAAAAACAAUUAUUAAAGUUUCAGACAUUUUUUUACUUGUGAAGUAAUGACCAAAGAAAACCAUAAAAUGUAAAACAACCGAAAAUAAGGAAAAAAGGAAAGAAAAAGUUGAAAAAAAUAAAAAUAUGAAUAAUAAAAAAUAAUAAAUUCUGGAAAGCAGUGAAAAAUAAAUCACAAAACGGAGACCAGUUUAUACGUCCUGCUGCUAUAUGACAAAGUAAAAAAUCUAAAAAGAAAAUCCCACAACAAAAGCUAUUUGACAUACCGAGCGUCAUAUAGAAAAUUCAAACAACAACCACCACAGAACGCUGAUACAGAUGACGGGCAGGUGGAUGUUUCUCAGAAUCAGAUUUUGAAGAAUCAUGAGGCGAAAAGAACUGGUGCCUGCAAUCGGCCGUGGCAUGUACACAGGUGCUAGUAAUGAUAUAAAUCACGGAUAUUGAUUUUGAAGGUCGAGCUCCAUGGAGGUCUUUGAAUGCAAAAUUCAAAAUUCAUGAAAAUAUUUUUUUUUUAUAUUUCGAAAAAUUCCGUAACAAAUACAGAGAUAGAUGAAGGCAUAAUACACAAGUGUGUAAAUUUUUAGGACCAAAUACGUUGAAAUAAGGCUGUACAAAAAAGGCAAAUCUGAGGUUGUUUAACACAUGAUACUAUUCAUCCUCUCGGAACAUGAUUUUAUAUUUUUAUACAGGUUGCAUUUCAACGUAUUUCAUCCUUGUUUAGUUUUAUAAUUGUUUUCAAAAAAUCUGAGGAUGAGGCAUAUGUCUCACAUCCUUGUUUAGUUGUAUAAUUGUUGUAAGAUUUUUUUUUUAAUUUUGAACUUUUCAAAAAAUCGGCCUCGGCCAAAACGCCUUUCUCUAUAAAUCGUGAUUUGUAUACUGGUAAGAAGAAUGAAGCAAUGCAUAUUCAACUAAACAAACUACAUAUUGUCUUGAAUUCACUCAUUUGGAAUCUAGCUAGAAAGGGUGCUUUUUAGGUGCCCAGAUUUUUUAAUUUUUUUGAGGGAAGUGACGAGGUUCUUGGGAAGAAAAGAUUUAACAGAUUCAUUGGUUUUCACAAAGAGAGCAAAUCAAUAUGAGCGCAGAAGCAAUCGAGUUUUGCCAUUAUUAAGCAACAACAUGACAUACAUGAUACAACUAGAGGUACAUAUAGCUAAAUUAGCGGAAGCCCUUUGUAUUGGUACUGCUCGCCGAGCUCCGCGAGCAGAUCGUUUUCCGCCUUGAGUAUGUCGCCCAUGUUGUCCAGCAGGAGGUACUUGUCCAGCGAGAAGCCCGACUCCGGCGAGAUGAGCGCCGCGACGUUUCUCAGGAACUCCUCGUCUAAUGGGGCAAGGGGCUCCCACUUUUGUCCCGACGUCAGCAGCGGCUUCUGAGGUCGCCGCCUCACGACCUUCAUUUUCUUCUUCUUCAUCGUCAUCCUCCUCUUCUCCCCUCUUGCGGGCGUCGGCGACUUCGCCCCCGCCUCCGUGUUCUCACACGAUGAACUCGCCAUGAUUCUUCUCCCGUCCUUCUUCCGCUGAGAAGAUUGGUCUGCUCUGCUGGUUUCGCAGACUUGCGUGCUCGCCGGCACCGGUAUAAAUACAGCAAAAAUAAGAGAUCGAUGAUUCAUUUCUUGGCUAGGGGAGCAGUUCGUUGUAUCCGACUCGUAUUCAGUCCACGGUUCCGGUUCCUACUCCCGCAUGGUCGACGCAUCGGUUGGGAUCCUAAUUGGGACGGCCCAAUGGUAGGUUAUUUUAUAGUAUUUUUAUGUAUAUUGUCUAUAAGGACGUUACUGCAUCAAAAAGAAAAGUAUAAUGGCUCUGCAUCUAGUCUAGUUGCUGAAGCGUGUGCGUCGAACAGCUUCCCCAUCGCUUAGUGACAGUUCAUGAAAUCGUGUGCGAUGACCAUUUCUAUGGAUUUUUUUUGCAUGAUAAUAUGUGUCUCAUUUAUAUCAUAAUGAAAAUAAUACAAGACCAUUGUUGUGGAUUAUAACAACACAUAUACACAGCCAAAUACAAACCCUACGGUCUUGGUCACAAUAUAGUGGUACAGGUGUCCAUUAGGACAUAUGUCCGUGUGUUGCAACGGAAAAAAAAUUAAUUUGUAUUUGCAAGCACAACACGUCAUGCUCCGCUACGAAAGAACGCUAGUUACCACAUGACCAAAACGACCAUCGAUGCAUCACUACAUCCAGAGAGUGUCACCACCUGCAGGGAGGCGCACGUCAAAGCCUUCAACAAACGCGGGGACUAUGUUACUCCCUUUGUCAGACAUUAUUAGGCUGGUGGACCACUUAGCCUCAGCCGGACAUUAAUCAUGAAGUGAGCCUUAGCGCAGAUGGUAAAGAUAUCUUCAACGUGACGAUGUGGCGUUGUGGCUCCCUGGCCCAGAUCUUCCCACCAAUGAAUAGUAAAAUCGACAAAAAAUAGAAAAAAUGAUUUUUUUUUUUGGAGUGCAAGAUGUUCCUUUGGGUGAUGUCAAAAACUGCUUGGAGCUGAUUUUUAUUUUUUUUUGCCAGACGCUCCUCGAAUGUCCAAAUACCUCGAAAUUUUGCAGACAUUUUAGCAUCUUAUGAGCCAAAAAGGAUUCAGAUUUUUUUGAUAUUGUGCUUUUCACCGGAUGCAGAUGAGCCGGGGACCAUUUUGAUUAUUAUUAUGGCUAAUCUAGUUUAAAUGUGUCAUUGUUCAUGUAGCCCACAAUCAUUUUUUCUUUUAUUGUUUGAACACACCACGUCCUUCAUUUCUUUUAAAGGUUUCCUUGCAUGUCUGCUCGUCGUGCAGUUCAUUCCUUUUAAUUGUCAUUCCUUUUAAUUGUCCGCUUUUAGCAUCCAUUUUUAACUGUCUUGCUGAUAUUCCAAGCAAACCGCAAGGUAUAUAAACCGGUAGGGAUCUAUCUAAAGAGGCAAGGUGGGUUUAUUUAACAUAAAAUAUUGAUGUCGAGUUAUUUUUAAAAAAACAGCCUCAACUUUAUUAAUUAGAGAUAAUUGUUACAUCGUCUAUUAAAAAAGAUACAAUAUUUUCCAAAGGCUCCUCAAUCCACUCACUCGUAUCAGAACUCUUUGCUAAUCUAGCAAGCUCAUGUGCUACUUCGUUCGCUUCUAGUAAAAAAAAUUCAGAAGCCAUAGAAAAACAAUCCUCAAAGGUUGCAGCCGCCGCUCCCGCAUAGUACCCUCCCUUGUUCAUUGUUUCAAUUACUUCCGAGAAUAUUGAUGUAGAGUUGGUUAGUGCAGUUGCCUUACCCUGGACAUGGAGUAUUGAGUUUAAUCUUCCAUAAAUACAUAUUUUUGUACACGUUGUUCGUGGCCCAUGGCAGACGGCCCAAUAUUGUAGCGAAGCCCAGCAGUGCAGCAACCUGACAUGGUACGAUAGAUGGUGAGGUGUAUGCGUGCUAGCAACGUAAGAAAACGGCCAGGGAGAGGCAAUGUAUGUACAAUAUUUUUAACCAUGGAUUCAAGCUCGUAAAAUUUUGAGACUUUUCCAUAAAACUGUAUGACAGACUAAGAAUACAUAUUUUCUUAAUUAGUAGGUAUAGAUGCGGCAAGUGGAUUGUUUCCUGGUUUUGGGAAGUUUCCAUAAGCUUUUCAGACGGUUUUUCAUUUUUUCUAUUUUGGGGUUUUCCUGUACCAAUCUUGUCUAUUUUUUAUUUUCUACUUAUUUUCAUUUUGCUUUAUUGCAUAUUCUUUUACUUUUUUUCAUUUUCCUUUUUCUAUUUAAUUUUGGCAAAACACGAAUUGUUUCAAUUUUAUGAUACUUUUUUUAAUUGAGGAACUCCUUUUCGAACUCGUUUUUUCAAGUUCAUCAUUAUUAUUUUUUAAAAUUAUCACCUUUUUAAAAAAUAUAUGAACUAUUUUUAAUGUUUGUGAACGCUGUCUCAAAAUUGAUGAACUUUUUUCCUAAAUGCUGAAGUUUAUUUUAAAACUGAUGAACUUAUUUUAAUAUUUGAUGAUCUAAUUUUAAAACCGGAGAAUGUUUUUGCAAAAUAGACGAACUGUUUUUCUAGCAUAUGUACCUUUUGAAAAUUCAUGAACUUUUUUUCAAUUUUUGGGCUUUUUUUAAAAGUUGAUGAGCUUUAUUCAAAAUCGUGAAAUAUUUUCCAUCUAUGUGCAACCUCUUUUUUCAAAAUCAUGAACAUUUUCGAAUUGAUGAACUAUUAACAGAGAUUAUACGCAUGACCUUUUUUGAAUUCGCAAACUUUUUGUUGAAAUAUCUGCAUUCUAUUUGAUUUUCUGAUUAUUAUUUUCAAGCUAGCGAGCGUGCUCGUGGGCUCACCCAUGCUAGCAAUGGUGCGAGCUGGCACUGGCGCAAAACGCGUCAAUUAGGAAGAGCAACUAAUUAAGGAGUACUCGUCCGAGAGCCUCUCGAAGGGUCCAUUGCCACGUGUCGUACUCUUGGUGUUUCCUUUGGAUUUUUUUCUAUACAUAUUUAUGUCUGGAAUUUUGGCUUUAAGAUGAUUUUGUUUUCCGGGUUUUUUUGGCUUUUCCGUUUACCCCCGAUUUUUCUUACAAUUUAGACCCAAAAAUAAGAUUUUAAAGAAAAAUCACAAAAAAAUGCAUUUUCUCUUUCUUUUUUCCUACCCUGAGAGACAUGGAUUUGCUUCUCUUAGAGGCACAUGUGCCUCCUGAAAAAGCAAAAAAAAUGUUUUUUCCUUCCGCGAGGCAAGGUCGUGCCUCUCAGAAAAGAAAAAAGAUCCAUUUUUCCUUUCACGGAAGUACGGAUUUGCUUCCCUGAAAGGCCUAGUCGUGCAUCUUGAAAAAGGAAAAAUGCAUGUUCUCAUGAAGGAAAACAACGUGGUUUUAGUUUGGUUUUUUUGUUUGAUUUUUUCGUGAAAAAAAGUCCAACGAAACAUAUCAACAUGUGGUCUAGUUUUUAAGAUCUCGACGCAUGGAAUCUAACGGCAAAACCAGUUCUAGAUUUGGACGUAGGUUUUGAGAGAUAAAAUGUUUUGAAUAAACAAAUCUGCGAAAAAGGAAAAACCCUUAGGUUGCUACAAGUGACGCACAUGCAGUUGAAGACUUGUCGCACCCUGGGUUGGGGGAGUGAUCUUUGCCAAGAGUAGUUUUCAAUUAGUGAUUUCGCUAAUUAGAAGCUCGCAUCAUCUCCGAUGCGAGCACUAGUGGAUCAGCCCAUGUGCGCUCAUAUGGGUUUUUUGGAGCGGCUUUUGGAAGCUUCUAUGGAGCUGUUUAGACAAAUUUGAAAACCUUUCAUUCAUUUUUUAUGUGUUCACUAUAUAGAUUUACAUGGACUAAAGUAAAAUGUAGAUUUACAUUAUUUUUUCCCUUAGUUUUCUUUGUGUGUUUUUAUUCAUUUUUUGAAUACACAUGGAAUUUUUGGAAAUACAGUUCGAAUAUUUUUUGUUUACAUGUUAUUUCUUUUAUACACGUUGAUGAUUUUUGUAGACACAUUUAAGUGUUUUCCAAAAUAAACAGUAUUGAUUUGUCAAAUGAACAUUGGAUUUCUUAUGAAUAUAAGGUGAACAUUUAUGAAACACCCAUUGAACAUUUAGAAAAAUUCCAUGAACAUUUUUUUCUUAAAGCAUGCAAAACAGUUCUUAAUGUUAGAACAUAUUUUUUAAUGUCAAAGACAUUUUUGUUGAAUGGUACAAAAUAUUAUUUAAAAUUACAAGACCAUUUUUACAUACUAGAAACAGUUGUGGAAAAUGUUAUGACCAUAUUUUUGAAACGGCUGAAUAUUGUUUAAAUUUCAUAAAUAUAUUUAGAAUGGUAUGUCAAAAGUUUAAAAAUAUGUGAAUAUUGUUUCUACAUUGUAUAAAAAAUUUAAAAACUGUCAUGAACAUAUUUCUGAACACAUGAACUAAAUGUCAGGAACAUUUUUCGAAUGGUACAAACAUUUUUAAAAUUGUGGAGACAAUUUAUUACACUACAUGAACAUUUAUUUGAAACACGCAAUGAACAAGGGGUAAGGGACACGUGUCAUGUGCUUUGCUAGCGCAUCGUGGUUGCUGAGUGUCUCAUUCCUUUGUUGUUGAGUUUUGUUUUAGUGCGGAGUGUUUUUACAGUAUACUCGAGAAAGAUCCUACGUUACGAAGGAUGUGUUUGGUAGGCGUUUCUAGCGGGACUGGCUCGUGGACAUUGGCUCAACAAAGUUUGGUUGAGAUAAAACGAUCAUAAAACUAACAUCUGCAUUUAGUUUGGUUGCCGGCAUACAUUCUAAACUGAAUGGGGUGUCAUGAAAGACAUACUAUUUGGUUGUCUGUUUGUGUAUGCGCAAACACAAGGCCUACUAUUUGGCUGCAUGCAACACUUGUUGUGAGAUAACCUCUUCGAUGCGGUGGUGAGGUUACCAUCACAUAGCGGCGUCAGGAAGAACACACAACAUAACAUAGUAGUAAGCAGUUAUAAAUAUUGUGUCACAUUUAAAUAGAUUAGUUUAAAUGCAAAGCAGUUCAAUAUUAAACUAAAGCAACUAGAGCAUAUGAGCGGUUGUCCUAGACGUUCACAACGAAGGCAUCGUCAUGUCUCCCGCACCAGGCCACCACUUUACUGCCAUCGUCAUUGAAGACGAUGACCUUCACCAUGUCGGGAGUCAUCAACUGUGACCAUGAAGCCUAUCUUGAUUUGUUGGACGGCGACGAAGGUGGCCCAAACCUGGUCGAGGGUGACCCUUUCGUUCAACAGACGGACAAUGACCCUCCUAGAGCACUCGGUGUUCGCCUUCAAAUUGAACUCCUGUGGCAUAGACGGGAAGUGCUUCAUGAAGUCGAGUGGCAUAGGUAUGGCCUCGAGUGGCAUGAUUACCUUGCAGAAGUUAUUUGGCUCACCCAUCUCAUGGUAGUGGUCGUAGUUCUGACGCUUGUCGCUGGGGGGCUCCUCCGCGUAUCGUUGUCCGUGACCGGGCUCUGGACAGGCGCCACCUUUGAGGGCGGCACAACAUCCUUGCACUUGUAUUGCUCCUUUGGUGGCACCACCUCAUUGCCCUUGUUCUCCGUGUCGAUUUGCAGUGUGAAGAGGUUCAAACGAUUGGGUCAGGAUUUGCAAUAUGAACAUUGCAUCAUUGUCAUUAACUUAUUGUCGAGAACCCCAUUAUUUACCUAGGCUGAUGGUUACCACUUACCCACCACCUAGUUGUUUGUCUCUCUUCCUCCAACCCAAUGCCAUGAACUCUAAGAACAAGUCUAACCCCAUCCGCAACCCCUUUCCUUGGGGCAUUGGAUGGAGGGCCUUCUUCCUAGGGUGCUCGCUCGAUGACCGCACCAAGUUUGAGAACACCAUGAAAGUGUGUUCAAACUUCAACAGCUUGGAGGAGCAGUACAAAGAGUAGGACGCUAUGGUGAAGAAGGCGAGUCGGAGGAGUUGAAGACGCUGAUCAGUGACCCAAUGAAGGGUUCUAUGUGAGCCGACAUACUUCAUUGAGCCAUGAAUCAAGCCGUCCCCGGCGACGCUGGACAGAGGGAAAACUGAGCCAAGUACAGACAGCAUCGGUGUUCUUAUGACCACGGGGCCGCAACGUACUUCACCACAAAGAUUAUGGUGGUGCCGGUGGAGGAGCAUCAAGAAGUGCUGGCUAUGGAGGUGGAAGAGGAAGAUGCAGUGGCGACGAUUGUGAGGGCGCUGGAGCUAGGACACCUAAGCAUGCCAAUCAAGUUGGACUCCGGCGAGGAAGAAGAUAUGGUGGUGUAGGUCGAGGAGAAGACCAAGGCCAAGGCUACCCACCGCUCCAAUCGCCUCCAGGGUCCUGUGUACUAUGUAAGAUGAACCCUAAUCCCCAUUCCGAUUGUACUCAAUCCUGAUUGGGAACCUCAUAUCUACCCGUAGUCAUGACGAUGUUAUGACCACUCCUAUGGUGUUUACCCCGAUUCCCCAUUCUCCUAACAUGGAUCGAACCUAAACUCGGAUCAAAUGCAAAGUAGUACAUGAGGAGGGGGGAAAGUGCUUACCGCCAUUGCCGAAGUGCUGCUGUGGAUGCCGGUGAAGAGGCCGGAGUCGAUUUGCUGUUCCUCGAUCUGAUGCACGCCAUCGCCGCCGUCGGUGAGAGUAGGGAGAGUGGAAAGAGAGCGGUGAGAAAAGGUAAGGGUAAUGACUGUCGACGCUUCGGGAAACAACGCGGCUUCUCAAGGGUGGCUCCCCUUGUGCAACCCCUGCCGCCCACGUGCAUCGCAGAGGCCUGGCUCGCGAGAAACUACCAAUUCGAACGUGCCUCGCGAGACAUACCCAGACAUGCUUUAAAGUUCGUGACAUGCAGGCCCAACAAUGUAUGUUGACAACCAAUCAGUUUGUUUUCUUUCCACGGGCCUGGUUGGACCUUAUGCGGGCAACCAAACGCAUCCCCAAGUGUUGUUUAUUUGUCGGAAUUUUCUAAGGUACUGGGCAAACGACAUGUGUACUGAGUGCCCAUGAAAUUACACCAGGCAAACUGUAAAAUACUCAGCGUAAUUUUUUUCCUGUAGUUGUACAAUUGGCUGCGCUGCAGUUCCAAAUUUGAUAAAGUUACAAGGUUGGUGUACCAGAAAUUCAUUAUCUACCAAUCAUCAAUAUGUAUGCACAAAACAGUUGCCUGUCUGGGCCUUUGUAUCAACGUCCAUCCAUGUGUAACACGUUCAGCGGAACCGUCUACCAAACGUCUGACAGACACAGACACGUGCAUAUCCUCCAAACCGGGCAGGCUGGUUGCUUGCGCCCUCGUCGCUUUCUUGUCGAACUGGCUCCAUAUAUAGACUAAUGCACACCACAGUUCAAUUUCCAUUUUCGUUUCAGUCAUCGUACAUAUGACUGCAUUAUUCAGCUAACGUUUAAGCAUAGGGAUUUUUAUUUUCAUGUCCCGUCUUUCUUAGUUAUGAUUAGUUUUGCCCCGUUCAUUUAACAUUGCUCACUUUUUUCCCUUCUUUACUCAUCUACGCCUCGUAAAAGAUCAAACGGUGUGUUGACAUUGGGUUAGACCAGGGGCGGUCCUCAGAUUUUGGGGGCCCGGGGCUGGAUUAAAAGCCGGGGCCCUUAAUAUAGACAUAAUAACAAUAACACUGAAUAUACGUACCGGUGAAAUAUAAACACUUAAAUACGUCUAAUACUAAUAUGCAUAUCAAAUGUUUUAAAAAUAUUACCUCAAACAAUAAUUCUGACAUACCUUGAUGCAAAGGCCAUUAUGAUGGCGUCGAUGUUAAUAGCGUCCAAUAAUUUCUUCUCGAUGACAUAAUGUCACCAGACCAUAUAAACACUCUUGGUUCAUCGGUGACCUCACAUAGUUCUUCAAUCAAUAUUUCCAACUUCAGAGAGCUUCUUCCGACCAAUACGAUAGUCACAGGCAUAGUAAAUAGGAUGCAAUAAGCAAUGGAAAUAUCAGGAUAACAGCCAACUUCUAUUGACAUGCUGCAAAUCUCCAUUGCAGAUAUUACAGUCAUAUGGCAGAAUGAAUCCCACAAUUUUUAAUUUAGAAGUAAGAUCAUACUCCCUCCGUUCCUAAAUAUAAGACCUUUUAAAGAUUGCACUAUAAACUAUAUAGGAUGUACAUAGACAUAUUUUAGAAUAUAGAUUCACUCAUUUUGCUCCGUAUGUAGUCUCCUAGUUGAAUCCCUAAAAGGUCUUAUAUUUUAAAACGGAGGGAGUAUAUCUCAACAUCAUGAUACACAAUGCUGACAAAUAACAUUAAUUGUUGAACAAUAUCGAUGUACCGGCGAUGCAUCUACAGAAGCACAAUAAGAAUAUAUGAUAUACGUACCUCGGAUGGCUGAAUCAGCCAUGACGGAAAAUCAAAGCCGGAUUAUAGGACGCCCCGACGAAUUGAAAUCGACGGCGCGCAGCUGAUGAUCUAAAUUAGGAAAGAAAUUAGGUUUGGGAGAAAAGUAGAAAGGAGGGUCGAGCACGCAGUGGCGAACAGACGAUGCGUCGGCGGCCGCUAGGAAUCGCUGCGUCAAUGCGAGAUGGAAUAGGAAGGGAUCAAUCACUCCUAUUUUUUCGUGAAAAAACGGAAGGAACGGUUGCUGCCUUUGUGCCUCGCUGGACUGCUGGGUGCAUGUUUGCCUGCAUGCUACGUGAGGCCCAGUCAACCAACCCGAUAGGUCAUUUUUUUCUGAUCUGUAAAAACAUUAAAUAUGUUUGGACAAAGCCUAUGUACAUACGUGGGGAGGGCCCCCUAAACUUUGGGGGCCGGGGCGGCCGCCCCCCCCUGCCCCUCCCCUCGGCCGGCCCUGCGGUUAGACUACCAACAAUGAAAGUAACAUAGGUGGUAACAUAGAUAUCAUCUAAACAACAAAUGUGAUGUGGCAACUAAUUAAAGAAAAGUAAGAGAAAUUGAAUAACUUAGCAUGUUACUCAUAUUAGGAGUAACAUAGCGGAUACCAAGGCAAGAUGGGUGUAUAGGCUAAUAAAUAAAAGACUCAAUGUUACUACCCCUAUGUUACUAUCCACUAUGGAGGUAGUAACUUAGAUUAGUAACAUAUGUAUGUUACUCCCCAUUGGUCUUUCAGCGGCGUUCAGAGACUCCUUCAUAUUAUUAGACAUAAUUAUGUCUAGAGACACAACACACGAGGCUAUACGUAAAUCACCCUUAGAAUACCAGCGAGCUCUCGUUUAACCUACGGACCCGAUGGGCCAUGUUAAGACUGGUAUGAAUACCAGCAAGCUCGCUGACAAGGAUCCGACGACUCCAUUACCCCUCGCAUCGCUUAGAGAAAAAACCCGAUACAAGUCACCCCCUUGACUUGAUCUGGAAUUAUCUGCGAGAUGCCAUCUAUGCUCUCAUCUAUCAACAAUUUCAACACAUGUUCUGCCGGAGUUUUGGUGCUUGGAAACCAUGAGCAAACCGCUUGUCACUUCUCCCGUGAGAGAGCGUCACCGGCACAGAACACCUCCAAUGGUUUCGUGAUUGCCGAUGGCGGCUGCAGGAUUGGGGGAGGUAGGCUGCUCGGGCUGCGGGGGAUGCGAAUUGAGAGAGAGAGAGAGAGAGAGAGGGAGGGAGAGGGAGAGGAAGAGAGAGAGAGAGAGAUUUCGUCCCCCUUUUUAGGACAAAUGACCCAACCAUCCACUAGCCGGUCCCACAUGUCAGCAUUUCAUGUCAGUCCCAUGCGUCCACGCGUCAACACCGGACGAAGUAACGGUCAACAGUUUUGACCCGACGGUGAGGCAUUGUUUGGCCUUUUGCGAGACGGAGGCGAGUAGAGGAGGGAGAAAAGUGAGUAAUGUUAGACGGACGAGGCAAACUGAGCACAACUAAGUAACGAUGGACGAGGCAACUUACGUAAAACCAGCUACAAUUAUAAUAGCUUUCGAUGUACACCCGUGUGAUCACCAGCCAUCUAACAACCUUUGCCGACAGUUGUCCUUCAUCCACAAAGACAACAUCAUCCAAAUAAUUCACUUGCAAUCCAGGUUUCUCUAUCAUCUCUUUGGACAUUGUGAUAUUUACUAAUUCCCGAUCCAGAGGUCUCAUACGCCAUGGCGAUGUCAUGACCAGUCUAGGAGAAGAAGCACCUCGUAAACUAGAGCGGAACAGAACCUGGGUUUUCUAGGCAUGGCCUCUCGAUAAGAAGUUGAGAAGAUUAUGGCUGAUACAUGGUGAGAUAGGAUGAGGUGUCUACGCUGCCAUACGACAAAACCCUAGUAACAGGGGAUGCUUUAUCUGUGUUAUUUUUUAAUUAAAUCACAUGAAUAAUUGGCCGUGUGUAUGUAAUUCUAUAUUAAUAUAAUAGGACACAAAGAGGCAGGUCCAUAUCAUCUCGGCCAACAAAUCUAAGAUUUGAUGGUUCAUGUUGAGCACCAAGAGACGAAAACCGCUCGCGUCGCCUCCAGGGGGCGACACGGGCGCCCUAGCCGCCGUCGCCCUCGACCUCCCUCCUCCCCCGCUUCCCCGCCGUUGCCGGAGGAGGCCGGCGAGCGAAGCUCGCCCGGCGGACGACGGACGGCGGGCCUUCCUCCCUUCUUCACGAGGGGGUCCUUUGGCUGAGAUGCGACGGCGCCCCUGGGGGUACAACAUGGAGGCGGAGUUGGCGUGCUCGGGCGGCGUGGGAUCCCGGCGGCGCUGCGGGGGCUGGCGGCGGCGGAUCUGGGGUUCCCCACCCCAGAUCGGUUCUCCUCCGGGUGGUCGGGCUCAGGCGCCGUCCAGCGGCCCUAAGCGGUGGUGGACGCGCGCGUUGACUGUCCUCCUUCACAGAUGUGAUUGGAAACGACAGGAGGUGUUGGCGUGCUGCUAGAUCUGAACAAGGUGAUGGCGUCAUCCCCUUCAUCAGGGAUGACGACCAGGUGGUGGGUUCUUGUGGCGUCGCCGGUGGCGGCGGAUCUUGGGAUCCAGUUCCCGGGGACGUCGUGGGAUGUGGUGGCCCGUGCAGGAGAGAUGGGUUCUUCGAACAGAUCUGGGUCAAAGCUUGCUUUCGGCUAUUGCUAAGGUCGGCGAUGGCGGCGCUGUCUACAUCGUUCCCUUCCUGAAGGCAUCGCCGAGGAGAACUUCAGGGCCACUCUCUGCUACCUCCUGGGGUAACCCUAGAUCAGUAGAUCGGAUGACGGCGACGCUCUGGUGUCAUUUCCCCCUUGGGGGCGUCAUUCAUGGUGGUACACACGGGCUCGAGGGACCAUUGGUCGGCAUUUACGAUGGAGCAGCGUUCCUAGUGACACAUCGACGUUGUGGAGUCUCGGCGGCGAGGCGCGGCAAAGUCUCGGCAAUGAAUGCAUGAUGAUGAGCACGCGUAGGGAGGAGGCGUUGUCUGGCGCCGUGGGGGCAUCGAUGGCAGGCCUUGCAAGGUCGAUGCGUCAGUAAUUUUUCUGAAGAUGGAUUGAUGGAAGGCGGCGACGACGACCUAUGAGGGUGCGUCGGACCGUUUGUGCCCCUGACCCGGUAUGUGGCUCUGUCGGGGCCUCCGGCUUUAGAUGUUAGGCUAGGUGAGAGGUCUGGGUAUGUGGCUCACACUUUCUGCACCCCCUUCAUCAUUGUAUAUGAGUAGCGACAGAUGUUGCCAAGAGGACGGCUUCAGACAUACGCUUAACACUCUAGCUAAUUGACCACCAGUAGCACGGGAGAGGUGUUUUGGCUCCCGGGUAUAUGCACUCGGAUGAACAGUACUGCGAAAAAAGUUCUAAUUUUUUUUGUAGAUGAUUGUAUUAGUGUCGCAAAUAUGCAUGACAAUUUUCGUGCGAUAAGGAGCAACGGUGUUUCAUCAGCAAAAAAGACAAAUUUAGGAUGACAUUUUGGGGUAACUUUUGGUGUUCAAUUUGUUUUUCUUGCACAAACCAAAAUGUUUUAUCUUUUUGUCUCAAAAUUUACAAGUAGUAUUUGGAUGUGACAAAGCAUACAAACAAAUUUUGUCUCAUUUUUUUCCAUUUCAAACUUUUUUUUGGCCCCGAAAGCAUAUGCCGGGAGCCGAAUUGCAUUUCCGCCGGUAGCACUAGUUACAUACACACUAGACUCCGCGCAAUCCCAUGAAAUCUGUUUGGCGAUUAACAUACGGCUAAAUAUCAACAUGCAAAUAUUAUCUUACCAAAUGUACCAAAUGUGUAACUAGUAUCUUAAUUCUACUCCCUUCAUAAACUAAUAUAAAAACAUUUAAAAACAAUGCUUUAGUAAUCUAAACGCUUUUAUUUAAUUUACAAAAGGAGUGCUACCUAAUAUCAACAUGCAUUGCACCAACUCCCUUCAAGGUCUAAUGCGUUUUUAGGGUUGCCCUUGACUAUUGAUAAGAUUAAUAAUAUAUGAGAUCUAUGAUAAAGAGUCUUUUCACAUCCGAAUUUGACAAUAUACCUGUAACAUGCAAGUUAUAUAUAUAUAAUUGCUCUAACCCGUGGCCAAAGGAAAUCUUGCAAAAUGUAUCGGAUGAAGGGAGAACAUGAUAAUACCAGUCUAACAAAUAUAUCCUCUCCAAUCGCAAACAUUUAUCCCCUUGGAUCACAACCAUGCAUACCCCUUUUGAGUACUCCCUCCGUCCCAAAAUUAAUGUCGAGCAUGUAGUUCAUUGGGAAUUUUGCAAAAAAAAACCUCGUAUUUACAAAAUCGUCUCAAACAAGCACCUCCACCCCUAUCUUCUUCGUCCGUCCUCGCCCGUGCAUCGCGAGAGGCCGCGCCGUCGAACUGGAAGGGCUCCGCCGCCGUCGCCGCCAAUUACCUCCUCCAUCACCACAACCCAGAUCUGCGCCACCGGAUCUCUUCCCGCUGCAGUUACCUGUCGGCGUCGUUCUCGAGCUCCUGCCGGCGUCGGAACCUUCCGCCACUUCGUCCUCUGGCUCCCAUGCGUCAUCCUCGAGCUCCCGUGCAUCCUCCCCAAGCUCACGCGCAUCCUCGCUGGAAUCUCUACUGCUCCUUCUCCCUUGCAGCCGGUGUGCCUGCUUAUCCCCUGUCACCGGAGGAGCUCCUCUGCACGUACUUGUUGGAAUUAUGCCCUANNNNNNNNNNNNNNNNNNNNNNNNNNNNNNNNNNNNNNNNNNNNNNNNNNNNNNNNNNNNNNNNNNNNNNNNNNNNNNNNNNNNNNNNNNNNNNNNNNNNNNNNNNNNNNNNNNNNNNNNNNNNNNNNNNNNNNNNNNNNNNNNNNNNNNNNNNNNNNNNNNNNNNNNNNNNNNNNNNNNNNNNNNNNNNNNNNNNNNNNNNNNNNNNNNNNNNNNNNNNNNNNNNNNNNNNNNNNNNNNNNNNNNNNNNNNNNNNNNNNNNNNNNNNNNNNNNNNNNNNNNNNNNNNNNNNNNNNNNNNNNNNNNNNNNNNNNNNNNNNNNNNNNNNNNNNNNNNNNNNNNNNNNNNNNNNNNNNNNNNNNNNNNNNNNNNNNNNNNNNNNNNNNNNNNNNNNNNNNNNNNNNNNNNNNNNNNNNNNNNNNNNNNNNNNNNNNNNNNNNNNNNNNNNNNNNNNNNNNNNNNNNNNNNNNNNNNNNNNNNNNNNNNNNNNNNNNNNNNNNNNNNNNNNNNNNNNNNNNNNNNNNNNNNNNNNNNNNNNNNNNNNNNNNNNNNNNNNNNNNNNNNNNNNNNNNNNNNNNNNNNNNNNNNNNNNNNNNNNNNNNNNNNNNNNNNNNNNNNNNNNNNNNNNNNNNNNNNNNNNNNNNNNNNNNNNNNNNNNNNNNNNNNNNNNNNNNNNNNNNNNNNNNNNNNNNNNNNNNNNNNNNNNNNNNNNNNNNNNNNNNNNNNNNNNNNNNNNNNNNNNNNNNNNNNNNNNNNNNNNNNNNNNNNNNNNNNNNNNNNNNNNNNNNNNNNNNNNNNNNNNNNNNNNNNNNNNNNNNNNNNNNNNNNNNNNNNNNNNNNNNNNNNNNNNNNNNNNNNNNNNNNNNNNNNNNNNNNNNNNNNNNNNNNNNNNNNNNNNNNNNNNNNNNNNNNNNNNNNNNNNNNNNNNNNNNNNNNNNNNNNNNNNNNNNNNNNNNNNNNNNNNNNNNNNNNNNNNNNNNNNNNNNNNNNNNNNNNNNNNNNNNNNNNNNNNNNNNNNNNNNNNNNNNNNNNNNNNNNNNNNNNNNNNNNNNNNNNNNNNNNNNNNNNNNNNNNNNNNNNNNNNNNNNNNNNNNNNNNNNNNNNNNNNNNNNNNNNNNNNNNNNNNNNNNNNNNNNNNNNNNNNNNNNNNNNNNNNNNNNNNNNNNNNNNNNNNNNNNNNNNNNNNNNNNNNNNNNNNNNNNNNNNNNNNNNNNNNNNNNNNNNNNNNNNNNNNNNUGUUGGAAUUAUGCCCUAGAGGCAAUAAUAAAUGUGGUUAUUAUUAUAAUUCCUGUAUCAAGAUAAUAGUUUAUUAUCCAUGCUAUAAUUGUAUUGAAUGAAGACUCAUUUACAUGUGUGGAUACAUAGACAAAACACCGUCCCUAGCAUGCCUCUAGUUGGCUAGCCAGUUGGUCAAUGAUAGUCAGUGUCUUCUGAUUAUGAACAAGGUGUUGUUGCUUGAUAACUGGAUCACGUCAUUGGGAGAAUCACGUGAUGGACUAGACCCAAACUAAUAGACGUAGCAUGUUGAUCGUGUCAUUUUGUUGCUACUAUUUUCUGCGUGUCAAGUAUUUAUUCCUAUGACCAUGAGAUCAUAUAACUCACUGACACCGGAGGAAUGCUUUGUGUGUAUCAAACGUCGCAACGUAACUGGGUGACUAUAAAGAUGCUCUACAGGUAUCUCCGAAGGUGUUAGUUGAGUUAGUAUGGAUCAAGACUGGGAUUUGUCACUCCGUGUGACGGAGAGGUAUCUCGGGGCCCACUCGGUAAUACAACAUCACACACAAGCCUUGCAAGCAAUGUAACUUAGUGUAAGUUGCGGGAUCUUGUAUUACGGAACGAGUAAAGAGACUUGCCGGUAAACGAGAUUGAAAUAGGUAUGCGGAUGCUGACGAUCGAAUCUCGGGCAAGUAACAUACCGAAGGACAAAGGGAAUGACAUACGGGAUUAUACGAAUCCUUGGCACUGAGGUUCAAACGAUAAGAUCUUCGUAGAAUAUGUAGGAUCCAAUAUGGGCAUCCAGGUCCCGCUAUUGGAUAUUGACCGAGGAGUCUCUCACGUCAUGUCUACAUAGUUCUCGAACCCGCAGGGUCUGCACACUUAAGGUUCGACGUUGUUUUAUGCAUAUUUGAGUUAUAUGGUUGGUUACCGAAUGUUGUUCGGAGUCUCGGAUGAGAUCACGGACGUCACGAGGGUUUCCGGAAUGGUCCGGAAACGAAGAUUGAUAUAUAGGAUGACCUCAUUUGAUUACCGGAAGGUUUUCGGAGUUACUGGGAAUGUACCGGGAAUGACGAAUGGGUUCCGGGAGUUCACCGGGGGGGGCAACCCACCCCGGGGAAGCCCAUAGGCGUUGGGGGAGGCACACCAGCCCUUAGUGGGCUGGUGGGACAGCCCACAAGUGCUCUAUGCGCCAAGAGAAGAAAAAUCAAGAGGAAAAGGGAAAAAAAAGGAGGAGGUGGGAAAGGAGGAGGACUCCCUCCCACCAAACCUAGUCCAACUCGGUUUGGGGGGGGGAGAGUCCUCCCCCUUGGCUCGGCCGACCCCCUUGAGGGUCCUUGGACCCCAAGGCAAGGCCCCCUCCCUCCCACCUAUAUAUACGGAGGUUUUAGGGCUGAUUUGAGACGACUUUUCCACGGCAGCCCGACCACAUACCUCCACGGUUUUUCCUCUAGAUCGCGUUUCUGCGGAGCUCGGGCGGAGCCCUACUGAGACAAGGUCAUCAUCAACCUCCGGAGCACCGUCACGCUGCCGGAGAACUCUUCUACCUCUCUGUCUCUCUUGCUGGAUCAAGAAGGCCGAGAUCAUCGUCGAGAUGUACGUGUGCUGAACGCGGAGGUGCCGUCCGUUCGGUACUAGAUCGUGGGACUGAUCGCGGGAUUGUUCGCGGGGCGGAUAGAGGGACGUGAGGACGUUCCAAUACAUCAACCGCGUUCUCUAACGCUUCUGUUGUACGGUCUACAAGGGUACGUAGAUCACUCAUCCCCUCUCGUAGAUGGACAUCACCAUGAUAGGUCUUCGUGCGCGUAGGAAAAUUUUUGUUUCCCAUGCGACGUUCCCCAUCAGUACUGCUGCUGGUCAUCUGCCUGAGUUGUUGCUGCUCCUCUGCUGGAGUUGAUGCUCCUCUGCUCGAUCUACUCUGCCGCUGGUGAAGCUCUGCCCGUGGUACUGCUAUUCCUCUGCCCAUUUGCACCUGAAGAAGGUACUGAUGAAACUGUUUGUUGUUUACUGCUACCUAAAACUGCUGUUGUUUGAGAAACUGCAUUGCUUGAGAAACUUGUAAUGUUGUGGUAUCGAAAAUAAUUUUGUGCAAUACUUGUAAUGUUGUGGUAUCAAAAAUAAUUUUGUGGAGUAUCAGAAACAGAGAAGCCUGGUUCAAGGUUUUGCACUGGAAACAGAGCAGUCUGGUUCAAGGUUGUGCACUGGAAACAGAGCAAUCUGGUUCAAGGUUUUGCCUAGAUAAACCAGACCGGAUGAGAGACCAAAUACAUGGGCAAGUAGUCAAAAGAAACACAUAAUUUGCCUAGAAUCUUGUUGUCCUGUGAUGCAAGAAAAUUUCACCAUGUGUAUGUUGUGGAACGCUUACAGUUGCACAAAUCAGACAUAUCAGUAGGUUGGUUCAGGUGUUGGUUCUUGGCCUAUUAACAUAGAAAGCCCCUUUGUAACUACUAGGACAAUCAGCUUGUGUAAAGAUCAUAUUUAGAGACGAAUUGCAAGCAUUAACCUGAUCUUAACAUAUAUAAAUGGAUAUUAAGUUUUCCAUUUUAGGCGAAUACAGAUAGAGGUUUCAACUAGACCUAGUGAGAAAUGGUUCCAUGGUAGCAUUUCUUGUUUGGCUGUCGUAGCUCGAUUACAUAUUGUUUUUACGUGCGUAUAUAUUCUUGUUACAGUACCAUGGUGUACUCAUCUUUUGUCAUUGAUAGCAGGAGUAUGGAUUUGAACAUGAUACCUCAAGAGGAGGAUGAAGGUAUUAAUUUGAAUUGGAUCCCUCAAGAGGAAGAGGCUCAAGGGGGAGAGGAUGGAGGUAUGGAUUUGAACAUGAUGCCUCAAGAGGAAAAGGAUGAUGGUAUUAAUUUGAAUUGGAUCCCUCAAGACGAAGAGGAUCCAGGGGGAGAGGAUGGAGGUAUGGAUUUGAACAUGAUGCCUCAAGAGGAAGAGGAUGAAGGUAUUAAUUUGAAUUGGAUCCCUCAAGAGGAAGAGGCUCAAGAGGAAGAGGAUGAAGUUAUGAAUUGGAUACUUCAAGAAGAAGAAGAAGGUCAAGAAGGUGUACCAGGUAAACAGAAAAGAAAAGAAUUGUCAAAUAAGGAGAGGCAUGCUGUUUACUUUGCUCUGCUAGUAAUCGAGCUCAGAGAUGGAUCUGUUCAACCAAACGACAAGCUGCUAGUAUCAAUCUUGUUGAACAUACAUGUACGAUCUAUUGAGAGAAUCUGGUCGGAGCCAAAAAGCAGAUUGCCGCGGGCCAAGAAGUAGAUGUCUCCAACAAGAAGAAAGGAAGAGUUGGUCGAAAGAGAAAAGAGCUGGAUCUUGCAAGGACCUCAACAAUCCCAUUGAAUAGAAGAAGGACAAUUCGAUCUCUGGCACGGUCUCUCGGUGUGACCCGCUCAACCCUACAUCGGAGGUUCCAGUUAAAUGAGCUCAACCGCAUCACAAACACAGUCAAGACUUACCUCAAACCAGAGAACAAGAUUGCAAGAUUGAAGUUUUGUAUGUCCAUGCUCGAUGACAAUUGGAUCUCAACUUCCCAAGCUAUAUUCAAGCCAAUGACUAAUAUGGUCCAUAUAGAUGAAAAGUGGUUUGACAUGACAAGACUAAAGAACAACUACUAUGUACUUCCAGGAGAGCCUCCACCUGAGCGCACCGUGACAAACAUUAACAUCAUUGGGAAGGUAAUGUUUCUAACGGUUGUGGCCAGAUCUCGAUACAAUUAUGAUGGAGAGCUAACAUUUGACGGGAAGAUUGGUAUUUGGGCAUUCAUCAAAGAGUCUGAGGCAGUGCGAACGAGUCACAAUAGAGCAAGGGGAACGACAGUGCUGAAACCAGUGAAAGUAACGAGACCUGUGUGUAGAGAAUAUCUGAUCAAUAAGGUUAUACCAGCAAUUCAAGAUAAAUGGCCUGACGAUGAUGAGGGAGCAACAAUAUUCAUCCAACAAGAUAAUGCAAAGCCUCGCGUUCUUCCCAACGAUGAAGCUUUUCGAGAAGCUGUGGAAGAAACUGAUCUCGACAUUAAGUUGAUGCAACAACCUCCAAACAGCCCAGAUUUGAACUGUUUGGACCUCUGCUUCCACAAUUCUCUCCAGUCUCUAACCGAUUGUAGGUCACCUACAAACAUCCAGGAACUGAUACAGGGUGUGGAAGAGGAGUUUGAGAAUUAUGAUCCUCACAAGUUGUACAACAGCUUCAUCACAUUGCAAGCAGUUAUGUUUGAAAUUAUGAAAGAUCAAGGAGGAAACCAAUAUAAGUUGCCCCACUUACACAAGGAACGUCUUCAGAAUGACGGCAGAGAAAUAACAAGUGUAUAUUGUGACAGUCAGCUAGUUGCUGAUACUAGGGCCAUUCUAGAAGAAAUGCAAUAGGAAAAGGAAAGGAAGAAAAGAAGUAGUUGUAGAAAGGAAAAAAAGAAUUGAACUUAUCUGAAUUGUACUCCUUGUGUACUCCUUGUACUCCUUGUGUAUGUCUUGUGCAAUAGGAAAAUGCAAUUGGAAUCAUUUGAGAUCAAUGAUGAUACUGGUUAUCCAACAUUUCCAUCUUGUGUAUCGGAAUUCAUUUUAAUUGUUUGGACUAAUUUGUUUGAGUUUAUCUUGAGUUUAUCCAGCAUUUCCAUCUGUAUUGGAGAUCAAUGAUCUUGUGUAUUGGAAGGGUCAUGUACAUGGGGAUGUUGCCUCAAGUUUUAUUAAAUUUAUUGUUUCAGGUUUCAGUAUACAAAGAUUACUGGGGUAUUGUCUAUAGUUUGGAUAAACCAAAUAAAGUUCACAAAUCUUUAUUCCCUUUGUGCAUAAAGUUUACAAAUCCCAAGCAUAGAGUUGGGAUCAACAAAAAAAUUCUAAGCUUACAAAUCGUGAGUGCUUUCAUCUCAAAAAAAUUCUAAGCUUACAAAUCCAGAACUGGUAGCCUUCCUUAUCUCAAUUCUCUGGUACUGAUUUUUGCUCUCUUUUUUUACCUUCCUUCAACAAGUUGUUCCUUGAACUGCAGGUACUCAGGGACAGUCAACUCCUCGUCGUCUGAAUUCUCAAGUACAGUAGUACUAGUAGCUUGGUUCAGGUUGAUUCUCAAUGAUGCCCUGCACUUGACACUAAAGCCUCCAGCCUGCAGAUAUACAAACGAAAUACAGAUACAUGCAUCAGUCUGAACCUGAAGAAGAAGGAAUGCAACCUGUGAAAUGUGUGAAAUGCUCCUACCAACAGACAAUGGAUGGUUUUUUUGUUUUGAUUGGUCUUGCUCUCGGUUUGAAGAUGAAGUGGUGUUAUUUCGCUUACCGUUGAUGUUCAAGUGUAGGCUUUUGCCUGCCCAGCACCUCUUAACCAUGUCAUCUCCUUGCAGUGCGUCUGGUUCAGGCCGAGCUCCGGGAAGCGGCUGCGCAUCAGCGGCAGCAGCGUGUCCGACGUCCCCAGGUACAUGGACUGGAAGUUGGCCUCCUGUUUCUACACGAGCACCCUGAUGAAGAGGUCUUCGGGGAGAGCUGGGGCGACUUGUUGCCAUCUGGUGAGGACGUCCACGGCGCCCUGGUCGACGGACUUCGUGACGCUGAACAUUGUCACUGUCGGGGGACGGGAACGUGCUUCACCUGCCACGAGAGCACGACGCCGAAGCUCUCGCCGACGCCGUUUCCGACGCAGCCGGAGAAGACGGCGGCGGUAGGUGGAGAAAUCAUUGCUUUUUAUGAGGAAGGGGGAAGCUUGGGGAGGCAGGCGAGUCGCAACUGCGGCGGCGGAGCGGCGGGGGACCGGGGGAGCAGGGGAGUUGCGGCAGGCGGAGCUGCAGCGGGCGAGCGGCAGCUGCGGCGGGGGAGUAGGGCAGCUGCGGCGGCGAGGAGCAGGCAAGCUGUAGCGAGCGUAGAUGGGGCAUCUGUCGGAGGAGGAGGACGAGGAGCGCGGGUUUGGUCGGGAGAAGCUGUAGGGGCUUUUCGCAAAAUUACCGUCGCGACAUUAAUUUCGGGACGGAGGGAGUAGCAUCUAAUCCUUCCAAAUAACACAGAACAUACGUGUUGCACGACCCAAAUGGGGCCCGGUCAAUGACAUCAAUCCCAUAUGUCACUCUCUGCUCCUACUACCUCGCUGUCCAUUACUUCAUGGUAAAUCUGGGGACGAGGAGGACAUGGUCGUCUGUCUGGCUCUUCACCUCCCUCGGGAGCAGUGCACUCGACCACGGUUGGACUCUAACCGGUGGAAAUCCAUGGUGUCCGUUCAAAUGUCGUUUGGAUGCGCAGGGAUGAUUGCUCGAGGCGUGCGGGCGCGGCCUCGACGGACACAGUGAUCGCCGUCCAAUUCUAGUAUGAUGAUGCAACCCCUUUGGUGGUGCCUCAUCCCUACGCCCUCGGGCUCGGAGUCGAAGAUCUGCACCGGCAUGAGUUACGGUCCAUCUUCUAACAUGGAGUGGCAUACCCGUCGUGCAAGGCAAAGGCCGCGUGGCGAGACGUAGAUGCUCUAACCACAUCUAGAUGGGAUCACAUCGAUUUAUGAUAUCCCGACUUCCCGAUCAACGAGUCUCCUCUGAUCAAAACCAUGUUACCCUAAUAUGCAUGUAAAAAAGUUAGGCUAAUAUGCGCGUAAAAAAGUUGAUUAACUGCUGCUAAAAUGGUGUGAUGUGAUAAGCCGGCCCUCCCCAACAAGAAAUAAUAACAACUGCCCCCCUAUCUCUCAUAUCCAAUUUAUAUAUGAGCCGGAUAUAGCGAGGACUGGAUGCGUCCGUCAGGUUGUAUCCGGCUCACGCUGGUUCAUCCCGACCCAUAUAUAUCCGUCUCUAUCUCCAACCUGGACGAAACCCUAGCUACUCCACCCCUCUUCUUAGCUCCGUUCCGAUGAUCUCCAGCCAUCUCCGACAUUACAGGCAGCGUCCGACACGGAGUUGGGAUCUCGCCCCAUGCGGGGAUGAGGAGGACAUGGCCGUCCGGCCGGCACUUCGCCGCCCCCGGAAGGAGUGCGCUCGACCACGGUUGGACUCUAUCCGGCAAAAACCCAUGGUGUCCGUUCAAAUCUCGCUUGGAUCCGCAGGGAUGAUGGCUCGAGGCGUCCGGGCGCGGCCUUGCCGGACGCGGUGACCACCAUAAUAUUCUAACUCCGGGAUGGCGAUGCAACCCCUCCGGUUGCGCAUCAUCCCUAACAUGGAGCGGCGUACGCCGUCGUGCGAGGCAUAGGACGCGGGGGCGAGGUGUAGAUGCUCUAACCGCAUCUGGAUGAGAUCACAUCGAUUGAUGAUGUCCGGAUAAACGAGUCUCCUCAGAUCAAAACCGUGUAAUAAUCCUACAAAAUAAAGACAUCGCCCAACGUGUUCCAGAACGCUCUGAAUGAGACCCCGCGAAUGGCAACAACCAUACCAUUUAUGAGCAAGUUUUGUCAGUCCCCCCACCCGGCCAGCCCGUGACAUCGAUGUAGCAGCUUCCGUUCCUAUUUAACCAGCGUACCAUUUGCACUACAUUGCAUCACAGCAAGCACACACACACACACACUCUCUAGAGAAAUGGCGAUGGCUAGGACGACGGCGCUCCUCCUCGUCGCCGCGGCUCUCCUGGCGGCCUCAUCCAGCGCAUGGGAGGUGAACAUCCAGAUGCCGGCGUCGGCGGCCGUGGACGAUGCUGUGGCACCGCUCAUCCACGCGCUGCGGCCGCUCCUGGGCUCCGGCAAGCAAGCCGGCGUGGCGUGCGAUAGCUGGCGGCUGGGCGUGGAGGCGCACAACGUGCGGGACUGGAAGACGGUGCCCGCCAGCUGCGAGGAUUACGUCGGCCACUACAUGGUCGGCGACCACUACCGCCGGGACUCCAAGGUCGUCAUCGACCAGGCCAUCGCCUACGUCGACUCCCUCAAGCUCGCCGGCAACGGCAAGGAGGUCUGGGUCUUCGACGUCGACGAGACCACCCUCUCCAACCUCCCCUACUACGCCAAGCACGGCUUCGGGUACGU